rnacentral:lncRNA from 1 species
ACCUCAUGCACACCUCCAAAGAGACGGAGGCACUUCCAUGCAAUGUGGUCAUCACCUCCACACAUCCACUAUCUCUCAUCCUAGAGGAUUUCUUAAUGGUGAAGGUUGUCACAUCUCUCAAUACUCAAUGGUAAUCUAAGGUGCAUAAUGAACGGUGUGGGUGAACCCAAAAAUCCUAUCAAACUUAGCAAAAAGAAAACACAUCGGUCACACAAAUAUCCUGAAAAUCUAGCUCUAUGCUAUACAAGUCUUCAAAGAUUGGACUCUAAUCAGUAUCAAUGUGUUGACUUUCUCCAGAAUGCUCCCAAACAUAGAUAUAGACCAUUAUUAAACUCUACUCUGAAUCACCAGCUCGGUCGAAGAGCAAACAAAGUAACAAGUCUUGUAUCAAAUAUGAGAUCAAGAAAAACAAGGUCAAUCGAGACUAGAGAGUUAGAGGUAAGAGGAUAGAUGUGUGUCCCACACAGACAAGCAAUACAUGCAUCACAUAGAAAAAGAGCAAUUAUGCACCAAACAAUCAUGCAAAUAAUAUGUAUAUCACUCAUAUCUAUACACAAACUAGGCAUGAAUAUGAUAAGCAAGAUAGGUAUUUAACAUAAUAGACAAUAUGUUGAGACAAACAAAAUGUUAUACAACAAAGAUAAUCAAUCAUGUCAAGAUGAAUGAGAUAUACAAAAAUGAGAAUAUGCAUGUCAAGGAAAGCAAGAUAAUCAUACAACAAAAUGAGUCACUAUGAAAGGUAGAUAAGAGAAUCAAUCGAUAUAAUCAACAUGUGAACAUCUCCAAUGAACAAUAAUAACCAAACAUGCAUCAUGGAUAAACAUAUUGAAACUCUCAACGUGUAAUCAACACCCAAUCAUACAAAGGCACAUAGAGAGGGGUAUCCAUUGAUCAACCAAUCAAACACCAUAUUUCCCUCAACUCGAGUUCAAGUUUGACUCUCUAAACAUACCCAGUGGAGUCGCCAUUUUGUGGACCUGCGUUUUUCACGUGCGUCCCCGCUCGAACGACGAAAUUCGUUUUUUAUUUGGUGAAAAUUUUAUUUUUUAGAAAAAAACUUGAAGUCGCCACUUAUUUUUGUUUUAUUUUUUAAAGGGAAAACAAAAUAAGAAAGAAAACUCUAUAUGACUCCUUAUUUGGAAAAAACAUAUCUGUAAAAAAUCGAGUCUAAAUACAUGAGUCAAGUUACCUAUUGGGAAUGUACGAUGGUGAGCCAUAGAACCCCUCCAAGCCCGUAUACCUACAACUUAUACUAAAUGAAUUAAGGGAAUUGUAACAAUUAAUUAAUUAGUCAUGGAUACCAAGAAAAAGAAUUGCACAAAUGAGUAUGUACAAAUUAUGAUAAAAAAAAUCAAAUUAUAAGAAUAGAUAAAAUAAAUAACAAGAGAAUUAUGCAAAAUGAUUUAUUGAACUAAAAAAAAUAUUAAAAAAUUAAUUUUCAAGAAAUUUCAAAGGAUUUUAUUAAAAACAAUUUUGAAUUAAUGAUUUCAAUUUAUUUAUUUACAAAAAAAAUUCAAUUUAUUUUCAAUAAAUGAUUUAAUUUAAUGUAAUUUGUAUUCAAUUUAAAAAAAUGUUAUUUACACUUAUUGUUAUUAAAGGAAUUUAGUAAAAAAAAAUUCAAUUUGACAAUAAAAAAAUGAUUUUUACUUUUAAAAAAUGAUUUUUUACAAUUUUAUUUACAAAUGUAUUUUAAUUUGAUAUCUAUUUAAUUUUUAUUUUUUUUUACAAAUUUUAUUUACAAAAAUAUUGUCAAUCCAAUUUUCUUAAAAAAAAAAAAAAGAUUUCUACAACUUCAAUUUACAAAUUCCAUUCUUAUUAAAAAAGUUAUUUAAGGCUUUUAUCUACAAAAAUUACUUUUAAUUCCAUUAUACUUAAAUAGAGAGAAUUUAUCUAAAAAAACAUUUUUUUGAUCAAUUUUAUUAAAAUUUAACCUUUGGGACAAUUUUAUUUAAAAUAAUAAUAAUUUUUUUAACAAUUAUUAUUCUAUUAAAAACAAUUUUUUCAAAUUCUAUUAAAAACAAUUUUUAUUUUAUUUUUCUAAAAGCAUUUUUCUGAAUUUUUAUUAACAAAUAACUUUCUUUUAUUAAAAAGAAUAUUUUAAAACUAUUAUUUUAUUAAAACAUAUUUAUUGAAUUGUCUCUCUUAUUUAAACAAAAUUUCUUGUUUGUUCAAUGUUCAAUUCUAUAUAUAACAAGUAAAUAUAUACAAACAAAUAUUUAUAAAAACCACUAAAAAUAAAAUCAAAUAGUAGUGGAAAAUAAAAUAUGUACCCAAAUAAGCUUAUAAUAAGCUCAAUGUCUUCCUAUAGUUUUUCGAUUCUCACUUUAUUCCAUGAAAUUCUAUGCGCCACAUGUCAUAAAUUUAUAUUUAGCCAAUAAAAUUGCAAAAUGAACCCAUGGAAAAACAAAAAUAGUCCAAAUGUAAAUAUCUAGAAAUUUGCAAAGUUCAAAAUAAAUAUUCAACCUCAAAUUCAAAGUUCAAAUUAGUCCAGUAAAUUUCAUUAAUUAAAAAUGAGUCUGAAUUAGUAAAUAUAACCCAAUACAAAUAUUUUACAUGUUAUAAGCCUUUGUCCAAAAUUUUCAAAUUAAUAACCAAAAUAUAAACACAAUCAACCAAACUUAAAAUUUGAUAAACUAAAACAAAUUUCAUUAGGUCUAAACUUAAUUUCCCAUCAUCCAAACCUAAUUUAAUACACAAAUUCAAAUUCAUAACCAAAAUCAAACUCAAUUUAAUAUGAAAACCCACAUCCAGAAUAUAUCACAAUUGUCUUAUGCCAAAUUAAAAUCCAUAUCAACCACAAAUCCAUCCAACAAAUUUUAUUAACCACAAAUGAGCCCAAAUUUCAUAUUAAUUGACCAACAACAAAUUAAUCCAAAUUCCAUAUUAAUUAACUAAACACAAAUUUCAUAUUAAUUCAUCAACAAAUGAACCAAAAUUCCAAAUUAAAUCACCAACCCAACUUUCACAAACUAUUAUUAUUAAAAUCAAAGUAAGAAAAAUAAUAAUAAUAAUAAUAAAAUAAAACAAAAUAAACUUACAUCGUUUUUCUUUUUUUUGAGACCAUGGAAGGAAUAUUGGGGAUGGCAGUGUGUGGAGGUGGCAUCGUUAGCAAGCGGUUGAUAAUCAGUUGACAAAUAAAGCGGUGUAGUAGGUUUGGGUGGAGAGAAAGAAAAGAAAAGAAAACAAAAGAAAAUUAAAAUAAAAUAAAAUAAAAGGAAAAGAAAGAAAAAUGAUGGAAGGGGAGAUGAUGGUGUGGGUGUUGUGUGGUGUGUGUUGGAAGUGUCGUUGAAGUAGGAAAUGGAAAGAAGAUGGAAGAGUAAAAGAAAAAAAAUGGGGUCGUGUGGGUGUUCGUCGUGAGUGGCCGUGUGGGUGGAGAUGCAAUCUGAGCAAGUGGGGUGUGGUAGCAGUAGUGUGCAAAAGGAGAAGGAAGUGGAAGAGCAAAAGAAGCAAAAUUAUAAUAAAAAAAAUGGAGAAUUGUGUUUUGGGUUCAACUGGGCCCAAAAAUUAACAUUUGGUCCAUAUAACUUUUAUAAUUGAUGGAAAUGAUAUAAGAUGUUAAAAGACCAAUAUAUCCUUCAAAUUUCUAUAUAUUACCUUUUAAGGAUAUAAAAUAGUGAUGAAUUAAAAUACCCAAUGACCUUUGACAUAAGUUUUUUUUUUGUCUUUAUUGCACCACUAUUCAUGCAACCAUAAUAAUUUUAUUUUAACANNNNNNNNNNNNNNNNNNNNNNNNNNNNNNNNNNNNNNNNNNNNNNNNNNNNNNNNNNNNNNNNNNNNNNNNNNNNNNNNNNNNNNNNNNNNNNNNNNNNUAUCUAUUCUUAUAUUUUGAUUUUUUUUAUCCAUAAUUUGUACAUACUCAUUUGAUCAAUUUUUUUUAUUAGUAUGCAUGACUAAUUAAUUAUUUGUUACAAUUCCAUUAAUUCAAUUAGAAUAAGUUGUAGUUUUACGAGCUAGGAGUGAUUAUAAAUUUCGUCCUAAAACUUUUUCAAUAAAUACCUUGAAUACAAUUGGUAGUCUGGUUUUUUUUCUUUUCUUUUUCUUUUUGAAAAAACAUUUAAUUAAAAAAUGAAAACUAUUUUUUUAAAAAAAAAAUUGAAACCUUGUUUAGUACUAUUUUUUAUAUGAAAAUAAUAAAAAGAAUUAAAUUACAUUCAUUGAUUAUCCAUUUUUAUUUUUUUCCAUUAGUUAUUUUAAUAAAAAAAAUAAAAAAAUAUAGUAUGUUUACAAUUAAACAAAGAAAUUGAUCAAUUAUAUAUUUUUUGUGGGGCUAUCUUUUACAUGAAAAUAUAAUUAAAUAACUAAAUUAUAUAUAUUUAUUACUAUUUUUAAUUUAAUUUUAUUUAUUUAUUUUUUGUCUAAUAGAAAAUUUUAAUAUAUCCAUAAUUAGCUAAGUAAUAAGUCAAUUGUGCACAUUUUAAUCUAUUAAAAUAAAUUACUUUCUAAUUUAAAUAAAUAAAAUGAAAUAAGUAAAUAAAUUUGGGAUUAUUUCUGUUUUUUAACAUAUCUUAUAUCAAUAUUUUUUAUGGUUAAAUAAAUUUUUUAUUUUUUUUCUUUAAUUCAAAAAAUAAAAUGAAAUAAAUAAAUAAAUUUGGUAUUUUUUAACUGAUCUUAUAUUUAUAUUUCUUAUGGUUAAAUAAAUUUUUUAUUCUUUUUUCUUUAUUUCCAAAAAUAAAAGGAAAUAAAUAAAUAAACUUGGUUUAAAUAAUAGUUUUUUAAGUAAUUUCUUUGUCUUAUUUUUAAUUACAUUUUGUAUUGAAAAUAAAAUAAAAUAACGUUUUAUUUAUUUUAAUUAUUUUAAAUGUCAAACUAUUGGGAACAUAAUUUACACACUCAUGUGGAUAUAAUUUAUACAUAGAUAUGAAAUUUAUACCAUUAUACAAUAUUAUUACACUAAUUGUAAAAGAGGUGUGCAAAACUGUACAUUUUGAACAACUUUUUUUUUUCUUGUCAUCUAAGGAUUAUACGUUCUCUUACCACAAAUUCUUUUAUUUCAUGUACUUUAUUUAACUCGCAUAUAAAAAUUCAAAUACUUAUCUUAAUAAUGAUGUUUAGAGAAAAAUUUUGUUUUUACAUUUUAUAUCAUUUUUUAAAUCAAACCAUUUGAAACAUGGUUCACACAUCAUAUGUGACACAUAAUGUAUGCAUAUGAAUGAAAUUUGCACCAUUGUAUAAGGGUGUUAUACUAACUGUACAAGGUAAAUAUUCAAUUGGACAAGACAAAUGUUCCAAUUGUACAAGACAAAUGUUCUAACUAUACAAGGGGUAUACAAGGUUAUCCUUUAUGAAAGAUUUUAAUCAAUUUUGGACAACUUUUUUUUUUUAUCUUGUCAUCUAAGGAUUGCACACUCUUAAGGUACACAUUCCUCUAUUACACACUCAUCUUAUGCACUUUAUUUACAUGAUAAUUCGAAUACUUAUCCCACUAAGGAUGUUUGAGAUAAAAUUUUGUUUUUCCAUCUUCCGCUAUUUUUUGAAACAAACCAAUGAAAACAUGGUUAACCUACCUAUGGUUACACAUUGAGCCAGGGGUAUAUAGAAUUUGAGUCACUGUACAAGGUAUUUACACUAAGUGUACAUGACAAAUAUACUAACUGUACAAGGGUGUACAAGAUUAUUAUUUGUGAAGGAUUUUAAGUGAUUCUGAAAAACUUGUUUGUUUAUUUCCCCUAACCGAUGAUAAAUGACAUUCCUUACACACAUUAGUUAAACAUACAUUCAUCUUAUGCACUUUAUUUAACUUGAAAAGGUACCUCACUUAUGAUGAUUGUAAAACAAAAUUAUACAAUAAUUUUUCUUCUUUUUUAAAACCAAACCAAUGCAAACAUGGUUAAUCGACCUAUUGUCAGAUAUUCAUAAGAUGAUAUAUGAAAUUUGAGUUAUUGUACAAGGGUAUUAUACUAACUGUACAAGACAAAUUUACUAAUUGUACAAGGGUGUACAAGACUACUUUUUGUUAAGGAUUUCAAGUGAUUUUGAAAAACUUUCCCCCUUUUUUUUCCACUCAAAUAUUUUUUUCCCACUCAAAUUCUCUCACUCAAGAAUUGUUUCGAAUUUUAUUUUUAAAUUUCAUCAUCAAAAUUUUGUAAUUGCAUAUUUUGCUUUUGUAGUUUUAGCAAUGUUCUUUCUUUCCACUAUUUUUUUUUUUUUUUUUGUGAAAUUUUAUUCAAAUGAAUCUAUAUUUAAAAUUGUAAUAAUAUUUAUCAAUUUUUUUUACUAAGAUUAUAUUUAAUUCUUUUAAUAUAUUUAUACUCAUUUAUUUAAAAAAUGAAAAACCAAUUUUUUUUUUUUUUUGUAAACAUGCUCUAUUACCUUUCAAGUAAAAAAUUAGAUAAGUUUGAAAGUCAAUUAAAAAAAAAAUUAAAUACCACUUUCAAUAAUUUUUAGAUAAAAUUUUAUAUAAUAUGUUUUAUUUAAAAUUUAAUUUCUAAAGUUUAACUGUAUUGACAAUUUUCUUGUUGUGAGUCAAAAUACUUUGCAUUAGUCUAUCUAGAUAAGAAAAAUUAUUAAUAUAAUAUUAGAACUUCAUAUCUUAGUUAUUUUUUUCAAUAAAUUUAUCUUUUCAAAAAUUUUAAAAUAAAAACAUUAGAAAUUAAAAAGCUAAAAGGAUAUAUAUAUAUAUAUAUAUAUAUAUAUAUAUAUAUAUAUAUAAUAGAGUGAAGUGAUAGUCAAUUUUUAAAAUAUGGUUAAUGUAGAAAAUAUAAAAAAUAAUUAAAAAUAAGAGAAAAAUAUAAAUGAAAGGAUAAUAUAAAUUUAAAAUAAAAAAUGAAAAUUAAAUUAAAAGAUAAAUACAAAAAGAUAAAAAAUAUUUGGAUGAAAAAUUCCAAAAUUUUUAUCAUUGCUUAUAAUAGGAGCAAAAAGAUUCAAUAUCUUUAAAAAAAAAAAAACAUUAUUGCUUUUUAUUUGACAUAAAAUAGAAAUAUAGAUUAGAAAAAAAAAGAAAAAAAAGUUAGAAAUGAAUAAUACUUAAUAAGAAAUAGAAAUGGGAAAAAAAAUACAAAAAAAUUGAAAUUCACACUCAUUUGUGUCUAUGUAAGGGUUAAGGGUAUUUUAAGGAUUAAUGAAAGAUAAUAUUUUUCAUCUUAAUUUUCAUACUUUGUUUAGGUUUUGCACUUAAAUAUACAUGAUAUAUGGACCAAAUGUUAAUUUUUGGACCCAAUUGGGUUUAAAACACAAUUCUCCCAAAAAAAGAAGUUGGAGGAAGUUGUGGGGAGAUGUGCAGAAGAAGGUAAUGGGUAAAGCGGUUAAUUGGAGAGGGUAAGAUGGGAAGAAAGAGGAGAGAGGAAAAUGAGGAAAAUUAAAAGAAAAUAAUAAUAAUAAUAAUAAUAAUAAUAAUAAUAAUAAUAAAUAACAAAAUAAAUAAAUAAAUAAAUAAAUUUUGAAAAUUUUUGGUGUUUACAAAAUCAUUUAAAAAAAUAAUUAUCUCAUCUAUGAAAAAUUGCAUGGACGAAGAUAAAACGUUAUUUUUCUUGUAUAAUUUCAAAUUGUGAGUAAACUCCUACUUUUCCCAAAUUUUGUGUAAGUGGAAUGAAUGGAUGAAAUUUUUUGAAUAGCUAAAGAAAGAGGAGAGAGGAAAAUAAGGGAAAUUAAAAGAAAAAAGAAGGAAAAGAAAAUAAUAAUAAUAAUAAAUAAAAAUUUUAAAAAAAUUUGGGGUUUACAUAAUCACUUAAAAAAUAAUUAUCCCAUCUAUGAAAAAUUGCAUGGACGGAGAUAAAACGUUCCUUUUCACGUAUAAUUUCAAAUUGUGAGUAAACUCCCACUUUUCCCGGAUUAUUGCGUACAUGGAAUGAAUGGAUGGGAAUUCUUGAAUAGUUGAUUAGUUCGGUCUUCAUCCAUUAAUCCAUCUAGAAACAGUGGGCUUCUAGGUGCUUUCCUAAGCCCAUUGGGCCUGACACGACAGCCCAUAUGCCCUGUACAGCCCCAAUAGCUAACUUGCUUACGUGUAUGGAAAGAAAUGAAGCACGAGGGCACAACCAUGAUGCCAAGCCUUGGAAUUCAAUAAAGCAGUUUGAUAUUUCUCCGCCACCCCCACCCUAUAUAAACCUCUACCCAUUUCCACAUAAACCAUCAUCACCACCACUACAAAGAGCGUCUUCCUCAAAAUGGGCCUCUUUAGCUGACUUGCUUGCGUCUAUGGAAUGAAGUCAAGCACGAGGGCACAAAGAUAUAUGACGCACGAGGGCACAAAGAUAUAUGACGCCAUUCCUUGGAAUUCAAUAAAGCAGUUUGACAUUUCUCCGCCACCCCCACCCUAUAUAAACCUCUACCCAUUUCCACAUAAACCACCAUCACCACCACUACAAAGAGCGUCUUCCUCAAAAUGGGCCUCUUCAAAAGCCUCUCCAUUUCCUCCUUCCUUCUCAUCACCCUCUUCUUCACCUCCGCCCAUGCAGCCAUUUUCAAUAUCCAAAACCGUUGUUCCUACACAGUUUGGGCAGCAGCUGUGCCGGGUGGGGGUAGGCGCCUCGACCCGCGUCAGUCCUGGAGCUUGACUGUGAACCCUGGGACAACUGGAGCCCGUAUUUGGGCCCGGACCGGCUGCAGCUUCAAUGGGGCUGGGCGUGGGCGUUGUCAGACCGGGGACUGCGGUGGCGUCCUCCAAUGCACAGCCUAUGGUGCACCCCCCAACACCUUGGCUGAAUUCGCACUUAACCAGUUCAACAACCUGGACUUCUUUGAUAUAUCCUUGGUCGAUGGGUUUAAUGUGCCUAUGGCUUUUAACCCUACCUCCAAUGGGUGCUCCCGUGGAAUACGGUGCACGGCCAACAUCGUGGGACAGUGCCCCAAUCAGCUCCGAGCUCAGGGUGGCUGCAAUAACCCAUGCACCGUUUUCAAGACCGAUCCGUACUGUUGCAAUUCCGGGAGCUGUGGCCCUACAGAUUACUCAAGGUAUUUCAAGACUAGGUGCCCUGAUGCUUACAGCUACCCUAAGGAUGAUCAAACCAGCACCUUUACAUGCCCUGGUGGUACCAACUAUGAUGUUAUCUUCUGCCCAUAAAGCCUCUAUUAACUAUAGUAUGCAUGUACUCGCUAGUCCAAACUACUAGGGUGCUUUUGAGUCCAAAAGCCUAGAGGAAUAAAUUUGAAUAAAUUUGAGCACAUGUAUGUGUACUACAUGCGAUCGUGUAACAAAAUUUCUAAGCUAGUUGAAGAAAUGGAUGUUUUUACGAGGGAUUUUACCGAUAUUAUUAAGAAUGUGUUUUAUAGCGAUUUUAUAAAGUGUUUUUAAUUUUUUUUUAUAUUUGAAAGAUAAAAAGUUUUAAAUGUUAAAAAAAGUAAAAACAUUUUCUAAAAUUACUGUCAAAUACACUUUAAAAAUGGAUUUAAUAAUGAUUCUAAAAAGUUUUUAUAAUUAAAUAUGAAAAUUUUGAAGUAUUAAAAAAAACUAAAAAUAUUUUCUAAAAUUAUUAUCAAAUAUAUUCUAAAUAAUGUAGGACCUAAUAGAGAAACACUUUUGCAUAAGAAUUUUAAACAAAUAAAAAAAUAAAAAUCAUUCCAUCAAAAUAAUUCUAACUUUCUUUUUGUCUAAUUGGAUUCCAAGUAAGCUCGGUUUUUGUCCGCAAGACCAAUUGUUAAUUUAGUCUUUAGACCACUAGAAUGGAGGUUUCAAGGAAAAAGAAAAAAAAAGGGUUUGACUGUGAGCAGUGCUUUGCUGACUGACCUCACUCCCAAAUCAAUUUUCCAUGUGGUGGAACCGUGGAAGACGCCUUCCUUAAUGGGUAGGAGGCUGUUAAUGGAGAGUUUGGACUUUGGGGAGAAAUUGAUUGUUUCCCCACUCACUUUCAAUUAUAUCCAUUUACAUGGAAAUAUAUAGGAAAAGAAAAAAAUUUAAAAUUUUUCGUCAAAAGCAUCUCCUUCCAAUUGUUAUAUUAAAUAUUUUAUGAUUUCAAAUCUUUUCUGGUUUAAGUUUUGAAUUUACCCUAAUGAGUUUGCCUUUUUUUUUUUCUGUCCCUAUUUAAUAUAUAUAAUUAUGUAGAUUUUCCAUUUUGUCUUUCAUAGUACAUAAUUUUGACAAUAUUUAAUGUCUUUUGCUUGGUUCCCUGCAUAGCAUGUGCGUAGGAUUAUUUUUGGCUUUUAAAUCUGCUUGCAGCCUUCAUUGAACCGAAGUGGAUAGGAAGGGCUUGACUUAUUCGUAUACUCAGAGGGCACUCAACUCACUAGCAAUGCCCCACCAAAGUCGCGUGCAUUGAAUUGUAAAAUCGAUUGACUUUUUACUUUUACCUCUUAAACAAAAGGACACCUUCUCACUCCUUCCAAAUUUUUGAAAAAGAUAUAUAUAUAUAUCUAAAAACUGAAUUUAAUUAGAUUAUUUAUUAGAAAGGUAGGGUGAUCAUUCAUAACACUUCUCAAUACUCAUAUAUGUACUGUUUUUACUAAAUGAAUGAAAAGAAGUAUGAUGAUUAAUUAAUUAAUCAUGAAUAUUAAGAUUAAGAAGACAAAUCAAUAUAUAUAAAAAAAUAAUCAAAUCAAAAUAAUGCACAAAAUAAAUGACAAGAAAAUUUUACAAAAUAAUUUAUUAAACAAAUUUAAAAUAUAUAUAUUUCAAAAAAUUAUUCUUUUAAGAAUUUCGAAAAAAAAUUAUUAAAAACAAUUUCGAAUAAAUAAUUUCAAUUUAUUUUUUAUUUUUAAAAAGUUUCAAUUUAUUUCCAACAAAUGAUUUGAUUUAAUUUUAUUUAUAUUCAAUUUAUAUAUUUUUUUUAAAUAAUUACACUUAUUUUAUCAAAAGAUUUUUUUUAAAAAAAAGGAAAAUUCAAUUCCACAAUAAAAAUGAUUUUUACUUGCUUUUAUUAGAAAAAAAAAAAGAAUUUUUACAACUUUAUUUUCAAAAAUAAUUUAAUUUUAUUUUAUUUACAAAGAAUUAAUUUCUUUACAAUAAAAUAUUUUCAAUCCAAUUUUAUCAAGAAAAUUAUUUUUACAACUUCAAUUUGCAAAAAAAACUUUCAUUUUAUUUUUAUUAAAAUAUUAUUCAAGACAUUUAUUUAUGAAAAUUAUUUUUAAUGUCAUUCUAAUUAAGGAAAGAUAACUUAUUUAAAUUUUUUGGAUAAUUUUAUUAAAAAAAACCUUUUGGACAAUUUCAUUUAAAAAUCAAUUUUUUUGAACAAUUUUAAUUAAACAAAAUAAAUUUUAGACAAUUAUUAAAAACAAUUUUUUAAAAUUUUAAUUAAAAACAAUUUUAGAAUUCCUUUAAAAACAUUUUUUGAAUUUUUUUAUUAAGCAAACUUUCUUUUAUUUAAAAGAAUCAUUUUAGAAAUAUUAUUUUAUUAAAAAAUAUUUAUUAAAUGGUUCCUCUUAUUUAAACAAAAAUUUUGGUUUGUUGUGAAUAUUUAAACAAAAUUUUUGGGUUUGAAUCAAUACAAAUAAAACCAAAUAAAAGUGAAAAUAAAAUGUAUAUCCAACAAGCCUACAACUCUUUUUUCUUCAUGAAAUUCAACCUUUCAUGUGUCUCGAAUCCAUACUUAGACAGAAUACCAAUGAGAGUAGUGGAAUGGGCCAUGAAAAACAAAAAUUAGUCCAAAAGUAAGUAUUUGGAAAUAUGCAAAAUCCAAAAUAAAUAUUCAAACCCAAAUUCUAUAAGCCCAAUAGGAAAAUUCAAAUUGGUCCAAUGAAUUUCACCAAUGAAAAUAAAUCAAAUUAACAAGUAUAACCCAACAAAAAUAUCUCAUUUGCUAUAAGCAUUAGUUCAAAAUUUUCAAAUUAAUAACCAAAAUCUAAUAUCCAUCAACAAGCCACAAAUCAAAAUAAUCUCAAUUAAGCCUAAGCCCAAUUUAAUACGCAAACUCAAAUUCAUAAUCAAAAUCAAACUCAAUUUAAUAUACAUACCUAAAUAAUAUCUAAAAUAUAUCACAAUAUUAUCUCAUACCCGAAUUAAAUAAUUCAUGAGCAAAACCUAUAUCAAAUGUCAAUCAAUCCAAUAAAUUUUACCAAUAAUAAAAUAGCUUAAAUUUCAUAUUAAUUAAUAAACUCAGAACGUGAUAAAUCAAAAUAAAUUGAAUCAAACAUAAAUUCAAUAUCUUAUAAUUUAAGCCUAAUUGAAUAUUCAAAUCCAAAAUCCAAUAAUCACCAAAUCCAAAUACAACAUAAACUAACAAACCCGAAUUUAUAUGAAUACAAAUCAAAAUAUAAGGUCCAAAAUGAUCCAGAUUAUCUAAGCUUACAAAUAAUGUCUAAAUGCACACAUGAAAAUAAUAAAAAUUAGCCCAAACCAAUAAUCUCAAUAAUCAAGAACAAAUUAUUGUAGUGAUUAAACAGAAAUAAUAAAAAUAUAAGGAUAUAAACUUACCCAUGAAGAACCCAUUAUAGUAAUUAAACAUAAAUAACAAAAAUAAAAGAAAAUAAAUUUGCCCAAAUUUGAAGUAUAUUGUUGAAGGGUUGAUAUAGGCUAAUGAAAAUAAAAAUAAAAAUAAAAUGAAAGAAGAUAGAGAGGGAAAGAAAGAGAAAAUGGUGAGAUGAAAGAUAGGUGGAAAGGGAGAACGAAAGAGGAAAGGGGGUCGCCGGCCGGCAGCAGAUCACCGAUGGAGACGGACCAACUGUGUUGUCGAUAGUGAGGGUUGAGUGAGUGUGGUGAGGGAAAAAUGAAGAAGAAAAAUGAAGAGAAGAAAAAAAAAAAAAAGAAAGGUGGGGCAUGUUCUCUGGAAGUGGGCCAAGAGGGGAGAAAAAGCGGGGAAAAAAAGAAGAUGAAAGAAAAUGAAAGAAAAGAGAGGAAAAUGGAAAUGGAAGAGAGGAGAGCGGGGGAUAUGGGGUCUCUGACGUGGGAGUGGGCAGGAGAGAGAGAGUUGAGGGAGUGGGUGGAGUAGGUGAGAGAAAAAGAAAGAAAAGAAAAUAAAAGAGGGAGGGAAGGAAGGAAAUGAGAAAAAAAGAAGAAGUAAAAUAAAAUUAGAUAAAAUAAUAAAAAAUUAAAAAUUAACAUUUAAAAUAUAUAAAUAGGUUAAAAAAAUUCAAACUAAGAUUUAAAAAAUAUAAAUGGACCAAAAAAUUUAAAUUUCGAUUUAAAAGGUAUAUAUGAAUAAAAAAAAAAUCAAAUGUAAUCCAUUUGAAAUAUAAUAAUAAAAUUAAACAUAAAAUUAAUGUAAAAAAAAAAUAGAAGAAAUUUUAAGAUUACAAAAAGUAUAGGGCAUGGUACAAAUUUAUUUUUAUUAUUUAAAUAAAAAAAGAUUAUCUUAAAACAUUACUUUAUUUUUUAAAAUAAGAAAUAAUUUUUAAGAAUUUAUUCUUGAAAUGAGGAGAGUGUUUAGAAUAUUUUUUUCACUUACUUUCUAAAAAAAUAUUAUAAAAAUUAAAUUAAUAAAUAUGCAGAAUAAUUAAAAGUAAAAUGUUAUAUACAAAAGUUAUUUUAAAAAAUAUAUUAACAAAAAUCAAAUUUCGAAACGGACUUCUUCUAUUAAAAAAAUAUUAAAAAUGGUUUGAAGCAUAUAUUCAAAAGUCGUCUUUUGAGAGUAGAUUUCAAAAAUAUUUCCAAAUAGAUUUUAACAUAUCAUUUCAAAGUGAUUCUAAUUAAAAUAUUUUGAUUUAUACUUUUUUAUUCAAAAUAUUUUGAUCAACUUUUAAAUAUAAAACCAAUUCAAAAAUAUCCUCAACACAUAUUAUUUAAUCAUAAAAAUUCUCAUAAUUUUUUUAUUCUUCAAAUACUUUCCAACAAAUAGUCAAAGUCACAUGCAAACUCUUCCAACAAAUUUCAAAUGCAAGCCACAUACAUAUGCAACACUCCUUAACAUGAUUCGUAAGAAUAAUUUCUCAGUGACACAAAUUUCAAUUUCUACUAAAUAUCUAUAUCAAAAUAAAUAGAAAAAAAAAUUCAAGAUAUCCAAAGAUGAUCACACCUAUUUCAGUUCAUUGUUCUUCCAUUCAAUUUAUAUCCACAAGUAAUAAAUGAAAACUAAAACUGAAAAUAAAUCAAAGAAUAUAAUAAAAAUAAAUAAAUAAAUAAUGAUAUCAGAAUUUACGUAGAAAACUUUCAAAAAGAUUAAUAAAACACGAACUUACCAUCAAUAAAAAAUUCCACUAUAAAAAAUAAAUAAUGUGUACAACGAUUUACCUAACUCAAAUCUUUUAAUCUUUCGUAGACUUAACCAACACUUUCUCACUUCAAUAGCAUAUCCUCAUCUUUCAUAAUAUACUUGGCCUUUUCAUUAUACUUGGCCUUUUCAUUAUACUUGAUCUUAACCUCUUCUUAAAGCUUGUUUAAGAAGAAAAAUGGGUUUUUUACCCAAACCCAAAUAGAUCAAAAAUUGAGAGAAUGAAUGAAUAAAUAGAUUAACCUUUUUUUUUUCUCAAGAAAAUUUAUUGAAAGCGACUUUAAAAUCAAUAAGAAAAUGAGAUUUUCUUGACCACCAAACACCGUAAAUUUGGUAAGAAAAAAAAGUACAAGGGCAAAAUAACUAUAUAUAUAUAUAUAUAUAUAUAUAUAUAUUAUUUUGUUAGAAAAAAAAUUUGAUAUAAAAAGUAGUUUUAGUGCUACAAAUAUAUCUAUAUAUAUAUAUAUAUAUACUCUUAAUUGAUAUCUUCUUCAAAAUGGUCCCCAUACUGUGUUCUAGCCACGACAGAUAAUACGAUUGAGAUUAAUGAGACGGCACUUAGAUAAUUCUUGUGUACGUGGAAUGAAUGGAUGGGAAUUCUUGAAUACUUAAAUACUUGACUUGUUCAAUGUUGUGGGCUUCAAGGUGCUUUCCUUAGCCCAUUGGGCCCUGCCAUCUACCCUGUGCAGCCCCAUUAGCUGACUUGCUUGCGUCUAUGGAAUGAAGUCAUACACGAGGGCACAAAGAUAUAUGACGCCAUUCCUUGGAAUUUAAUAAAAGCUGUUUCCCAUUUCUCCGCCGCCCCCACCCUAUAUAAACCCCUACCCAUUUUUCCAAAGGUUGAAUUCAAUUUAAAUAACAAAUCCAUCUUUAUAAAGUGAAAAAUAAAUUUGUUUUUUCAAAAAUCAAGUUUAAUAUUAAAAUAAAACAGAUAAGAGAUUAAAAACAAAAGUUACAAAACGGACAAGAGAGAAGAAUGGAAUGUGGUAAAAAAAAAACACAUUUUGUAUUUAUUUUUAAAUAACAAUUUUAGUAAUGAUUUUAUAAGGUGUUUUUAAUAUUUAAAAAAAAAUUAAAAAUACUUGUUAAAAUAAUUGUGAAACGCAUUGUUAGACUUUUUAGACCAUACAGGUUUCAGGGAAAAAACAAUAAAAAAUAAAAUAAAGAAGAUUUGAUUGUGAGCAAAGCUUUCAAUUUUCCAUGUAGUGGAAGAAGCCUUCUAUAUGGGUAUUUUAUUUUGUCCUCAUAACAUGAUAUUUAUCAUAUUUGGUAUUUGCAUAGUAUAUAUACAAAAUUCUUUUUGAUUUUUCUACUCUUUGCACUUCUUAGUGGUCUUUCUAUUACUUUUAUACAUAAUAAAAGUCAAUAACUAAAUGUAGAGAUUUUUUGCGGGCCCAAAAAUCACACGGUUAGUUCAUGGAGUUGCUUUCGGAGAGGCCUGAACCACCCACCAAAGUUGAGCUUAUCUCUUCGCUUUUACAUCUUAAAUGACACUAGAAAAAGGUAUAUGGCAUAGUAGAAAACUAUUUUUAAUUUUUUUUUUAUUAUUUAAAUAAUUUUUUUUUACCUGAAAACUUUUAUUAUUAUUUUAAAUAAGAAAUUGUUUUUUAAUUAUUUAUUCUAAAAAUGAGAAGAAAGUGUUAAGAAUAUUUUUUUCACUUAUUUUCUGAGAAUCAUUUAAAAAAUUUAAUUAUAUAAAUAUUGAGAAGAGUUGAAAAUAAAACAUUACAUAUAAUUUUUAAAAAUAUAAAAAUUUUAUUAAAAAUAUUUCAAGUUUCUAAACAUGCUUCUAGUAAAAAAAAAAAUUAAAAAUUGUUUGAAACAUAUUUUCAAAAAUUAAUUUUGGACAACAGUUUUAAAAAAUAUUUCCAAAUAGACCAUGAAAUAUCAUUUCAAAAUGAUUUUAAUUAAAGUUGUGCAGAGUAUUUUAACAAUGAUAUGGACCUUAUCUGGAAAAUAUUUUAAAUAAAAAAUAUAUGUUUAUUUAAAUUUGCGCCAUUGUAUUUGCUUACAAGUUUAUUUAUUGUCAUGUUUCAGAAAAAAAUAUCAGCUUCAGUUGAAAAGUUUUGAAAGAUACUUCGUAGUGGACCCACAUGGAUCACGAAUCCAUCUAAAACCCAACAUUUACGGGCUUUCCAUGACAUUGGGCCCAGUCACGUGUCUUUUAAGUGGAAAGUAAACUUUGGAUUUUCUCUUCUCUGGACUGGGUUGCUUCUCAGUAUCUUAAACGAUAAAUGAUGAUAUUAUCGAAAAUAGUCCCAGUCUCAGAAUAAUUGAAGUGGCCAAUCAUAUUGGAAUAAUUCAACAGGCUGUCUCAUUGAAUUUUGAAAUAAAUUUUUCCAACAACAUCCACCGACGUUUUUCUCAUUCAGCAUUCGGUAUUUAUGAAUUUACAUAAAAGUUAGGCAGAUUUCUGAAAUUAUAAAAAAUAAAAAUAAAAAUGACAAUGACGUGGGGCCUCGUCUCUGCAAAAUAUUUUAAAUAAAAUUAUUUAUUUUCUAAAAACAAACCUUUUUCAUUUGAAAAAAAAAAUUAUUGGCUUUUGAUGAUAAGGUUUGUGGAAGAAAAAGGCCAUCCCGCAUUGACUCUUUCUUUCAUGCCUACGAGUCACAACGAAGUCGACCACAAAGAUGAUGCCAUCAUUUGGAAUUUUUACAAGGCUUUAUGCACGCGGUUUUUCCACACUCACACCAACCCAAGCCCUCCUUCACACUAUACAAACCCUUUCUUCAAAUUGAUAAAUGAUAGUUUUUUUCAUUCAUACUUUCAUUUGUUCAUAUACAGAGUAUAUAUAGAGGGUAAUCAUCAUUCUAAGAAUGAGAAAGAAUAAUACAAGGAAAGAAUGAUAUAAGGAAAUAACAACUAAUAUCCUAAUAUCUCAACUUUCCUAAUAUUUCAAUAUUCCUAGUAUCUCAAUAUUCAUAAUAUCUCAAUAUUCAUAAUAUCUCAACAUUCCUAAUAUCUAAACAUUCCUAAUAUCUCAAUACUAAAUGAUAUAAGGAAAGAAUGAUAUAAGGAAAGCAUUCCUAAUAUCUCAACACUCCCCCUCAAGUUGGUGCAUAGAUGUCACACAUACCCAACUUGUCUAAAAAUUUUGAGAACACUUGACUUGAGACAGCUUUGGUAAGGAUAUCGGCCAAUUGAUCUUCUGAUCGAAUCUUAGGCAAUUCCACAAUCUUAUCAUCCAACUUUUCCUUAAUGAAGAAUCUAUCCACCUCGACAUGCUUUGUAUGAUCAUGUUGUACUGGAUUAUGAGUAAUGUCACAUGCGGCUUUAUUGUCACAAAACAAUCGGAUUGGUUGCCUAGAUAGGUAACUUAAAUCCUGUAAGAGGAGUCUUACCCAUAAUGCCUCACAAAGUCCUAGAGUCAUAUCUCUAAAUUCCGCUUCUGCACUUGAAUGAGCGACGACAUUCUGCUUCUUACUUUUCCAUGUCACAAGAUUACCACGUACAAAGGUAAAGUAACCAGAUGUAGAUCGCCUAUCAUCCACUGCACCGGCCCAAUCAGCAUCAGUAUAUACUUCUAUACUCUGAUGAUCAACAUUUUUAGUGAACAAAAUUCCCUUCCCAGGAGCAUUCUUCAAAUACCUCAAAAUAUGCAUGACUGCAUUCAUAUGUUGCUCUCCAGGAUUAUGCAUGUAGUGACUCACUACACUCAAUGCAUAAGCAAGAUCUGGUCUUGUAUGAGCUAAGUACAUUAAUCUCCCCACAAGUCUCUGGUAUCUUCCUUUAUUGGUUGAUACUUGAUUAGGCUCAACACACAAUUUCAGACCUUCUUCUAUUGGUGUAUUAACAGGUUGACAUCCCGACAUUCCAGUCUCCUGUAAAAGAUCUAAGGCAUACUUUCUUUGAGACAAAAAAAUUCCUUCACUUGAUCGAGAAACUUCAAUCCUAAGAAAGUAUUUCAGAGGACCUAGAUCUUUCAUUUCGAAUUCUUUAGAUAGAUAAUUUUGCAGAGCUUUUCUUUCUUCAGGAUCAUUUCCUGUAACUACCAUGUCAUCCACAUAUACGAUGAGUGUCGUAAUCUUACCAUGUUGCUUUUUUAGGAAUAAAGUGUGAUCUGAAUUACUUUGACGAUAGCCAAAAGCUCUCAUUAACUUUGUGAACCUUCCAAACCAUGCUCUCGGGGAUUGCUUCAACCCAUACAAUGACUUCUUCAAUUUGCACACCUUCUGACAUUGCUUUUCUAACACCAUGCAUCCUGGUGGAAGAUCCAUAUAUACUUCUUUAGAUAACUCGCCAUGAAGAAAAGCAUUUUUCACAUCGAAUUGUUGUAAUGGCCAAUCUAGGUUUGCAGCUAAAGACAAUAAUACUCGAAUUGUGUUGAUCUUAGUUACAGGUGCAAAUGUCUCUGUGUAGUCAAUUCCAUAAGUUUGAGUGUACCCUUUUGCUACCAGUCUUGCUUUAAAUCGUUCAAUACUACCAUCUGCCUUGUACUUCGCAGUAUAGAUCCAACGACACCCAACUGGCUUCUUUCCUGGUGGACAUUCUACGAGUUCCCAUGUUUCAUUCUUCUGCAAUGAUUUCAUCUCUUCAUUCAUGACUGCUUUCCACCUUGGAUCAGCUAAGGCUUCUUGCACACUGUUAGGAAUAGAUACAGUAGAUAAUUGAUUUACAAAUGACUUAUUUGAUUCAGACAAACGAUGGGUAGACACAUAGUUGCUCAUGAGAUAUUUGACUUUAUUAGGCAAUUCAGGUUCAUAUGUGGGUUUAGGAAUACCUCUAUUAUGACGAUGUGGUAACCGUUUCAUGAAUGGAUCAGGUUCCAAAUUAAGAACACCCUCAACAGACGACGAUUGGUUUGGUAUUUCAGUGAAGAUAACUUCGGACCCAAAUGUGCAACUAGUGCCAUGAUUAUCCUGAAAGAGUCCUUCGUAGAAACUGGAGAGAAGGUCUCUUUGAAGUCAAUUCCUUCUUUUUGAGUAAAGCCUUUAGCUACAAGACGUGCUUUAUAUCUUUCUACAUUACCAUUUGAAUCCCGCUUGGUUUUAAAUAUCCAUUUACAACCAAUGGGCUUCGUGCCAACUGGUAAUGGGACAAGUUCCCAAACUUUAUUGUCUUGCAUAGAUUUGUACUCUUCAUUCAUGGCUUCAAUCCAUUUCUGAGAGUUGGAACUUUUCAUGGCUUGCUGGAAGUUGAUUGGAUCAUCUUCCAUCAUUCCACUUUCUACCCCACGUUCCUAGAGAUAUACGAUAUAAUCGUCCGAAAUUACAUUUCUCCUCUCUCUAGUGGAUCUCCUUAAUAGCAUAUUUUCUUGAGGUUGUUGAGUUUGUUCUUCAAGAGCAAUGUCCUCAUUUGCAAUUAAGGGUUGAACAAUAUUGUCUAUUGGUUAAGGAUCCAAAUUUACUUCUUGAUCGAUGAUAGGUAGUGAAACCUGUACAUUAUCAAAAGCAAUAGUAGAUCCCUCUUCCUCCUCAAAGACAAUAUUCCUAGCCUGAUUUCUCCCCCCAAACUCAACAUCCUCAAAAAAUGUUGCAGUUCUCGUCUCAAAAAUUGACCUAAAAGCAGGAUCAUAAAAUUUAAAACCCCUUGAUCGCUCUGCAUAGCCAAUAAAGUAGUUGCUAACUGUUUUAGAGUCCAAUUUCUUUUCAUGAGGCUUAUAAGGUCUCGCUUCAGCUGGACAUCCCCAAAUAUGGAAAUGCUUUAAACUGGGCUUUCGACCCGUCCAAAGCUCAUAAGGCAUUUUAGCAGCCGCUUUAGUUGGCACCCGAUUUAGGAUAUAAGCUGCCGUUUUAAGUGCUUCACCCCAGAGUUUUUCGGGUAAAGUAGAAUGACUAAUCAUACUCCUUACCAUGUCCUUAAGAGUUCGGUUUCGUCUUUCUGCUACACCAUUCAUGCUAGGUGAUCCUGGCAUGGUGUAUUAAGGGACGAUCCCACAUUCCUCUAGGUAUUUAGCAAAUGGUCCUGGACGUUGUUCACCUGAUCCGUCAUAUCUACCAUAGUAUUCACCACCACGGUUAGAUCUGACGCUCUUUAUUCUUUUGUUGAGUUGUAACUCAACUUCUGCUUUAAAUGUUUUGAACACGUCCAAUGAUUGUGAUUUCUCAUGUAUAAGAAAUAGGUAGCCAUAUCUUGAAUAGUCGUCUAUGAAUGUUAUAAAGUACUGUUGACCAUUCCAAGAUAUCGUAGGGUAUGGUCCACAGAUAUCUGUAUGAAUUAAUUCUAAGACGUUUGUAGCUCUAUUGGCACCUAAUUUCUUUGUUUUGGUCUGUUUUCCUUUAAUACACUCAACACAAAUAUCAAAAUCUGAAAAGUUAAGUGAAUCCAAAAUCCCAUCGGACACAAGUCGCUCAACUCUAGAUUUAGAGAUAUGACCUAGGCGUUUGUGCCAUAAUGAGGCCGAAUUAUCUUUAUUCAAUUUACGUUUUGUACCUCGUGAUUCCACAUGCAAGGUUUCAUUAUAGGACGGAACAGUUUCCAACAAAUAUAGAUUAUCAUAAACAUUAAGUAAACCGGUUCCUACAACAUUUGAAAUAAUAGAUAAUGUAAAUCUAUUGUUUCCAAAUGAACAACAAUAACCUGAUUUGUCCAAAACAGAAACUGAAAUUAAAUUCCGUCUGAAAGACGGUACAACAAAAGUAUCUAUUGAAUCCAAAAAAUAACCAGAUUUCAAUAAUAAUCUAAAGUGCCCUAUUGUCUCUACUUCUAUCGACUGACCGUCUCCGACAUAGAUGCAUCUUUCAGCAUCACUUGGUUUUCGGUAACUCAGGCAACCCUGCAUAGAAACACAAAUAUGAAUAGUAGCACCAGAAUCUAACCACCAUGUGUUUCUAGAUACUGAAGCUAAAUUAACUUCAGAACAUACCAAAGUAAGAAAUAUACCUUUCUUAACACGCCAAGUAGCAUACUUGGUACAUUCCUUCUUAGUAUGUCCAGGCUUAUUACAGAAGAAACAUGUUACCUCAACUUUCUGUUUCUUUUGUUCUGGACCAUUAGAAGCAACAACCUUAUUAUUCUUAUUCUUUCGUUUGCCCUUAUCCUUGGAAGUGCUAGCCAGAAGAGCACUUUCGGUCUUGUCUUGCUUCAAUCUCUCUUCCUCUUGCACACAGAAUGAAAUGAGCUCAUUAAGAGUCCAUUUAUCCUUUUGAUAGUUAUAACUGACCUUGAAUUAAUUAAAUUGUGCAGGAAGAGAGAUGAGAACCAAAUGCACGAGUAAAUCAUCAGAUAACUCGAGUUUCAAAGCCUUAAGUUUUGAAGCAAGAUGAGACAUCCCCAUGAUGUACUCCCGAACAUUACCCUUGCCUUUAUACUUCAUUGAAAUCAAGCUUGCUAAAAGCGUGCUCGUUUCAGCCUUAUCGUUUUUGGCAAAACGUUUCUGAAUUUCCGCAAGGAAGUCACUGGCAUUAGUAACCUCAUCGGUUACCGCACCCCUGAAAGCUUCUGGAAUGCCGCGCUUCAUGAUCAUAAGACUUAGCCUAUUUGAACGUUCCCACUUACCCCAAUAAACCUCAUGCUCUUGAGUACUUUCCUCAUUGAGUUCAUCGGGUUUGGGCAUUCUCAAGGCUAAGUCUAUAUCCAUGCAGCCUAAGAGAAUCAUCAUAUUCUCUUUCUAGUCCUUAAAAUUAGUCUCAUUUAACAUAGGGACAUUAUUGAUGUUGGCAGAUAUAGAAGUAGUUGAUAUAAAAGUUGAAUCGAAAACAAAAUAAAAUAAAUCAAAUAAACCAUCAUGCUCACAUAAAAUAAGCAAUUAAACACAUAAUCUUUAAAUUUAAAAGCAAAUUAUGACAUUUCAAGAUACCUAGCACAACAUUAAUAUCAAGUCUUUGGACAGUAAUAUUAACUAUAAGUGGUACUCUUGUUGUAGUGAUCAAACAUUGAUGAUAAGUUAUGUCAAAUAAUAAAUCUAUCUUUGGAUUGAUUUAUUAUUCACAUUAAGUUACCUUUAUAAUCAUCACAUAUUUAUCACCACAGGUAUGUAUGCAAUUUGACCAAAUAUUAACUUUCCUUUGGGCCAGUCAAUACCCGCAUGAAUCACAUACACACGAAUAUCUAACACCCUGAACAGACUAAUCUACACGAAAGAUGUCACUUUGGUGAUUUUCCGCUUUAAUUAACCUAUUUAAAAUGCUAGAUCAAUAACUUAAAUAUUAAUAUCAUAAAAUGCUAUUAAAUAAUAAUAAUAAUAAUAAUAAUAAUAGUAAAAAAAAAAACAAAUUUAUUUAAUACAAAAAAAAAUAAAUUAAAACUUAAUAUAUUAUUAUAAGAAUAUGAUAAAUACUGCAGCAGCAAGGGAUAAAGGCCUUUUAUACUCAUAUAUACAUAUAUAUAUAUAUAUAUAUAUAUAUAUAUAUAUAUAUUUGAAACUUUAACAGAAUCAUCACCUACUAUUCCCAAAGAAAUUUCUAAGAUAUAUCAUUGGAAAUGUAAUACUUUUGACUUCAAAUACAAAUUUUUUUUGCACCUCUUUUCUUAACCAAUGAAUGUAUCUAUGUAUACUCUUAUAUUAAUACAAUCGAUUUCUAUUGACUUUAUCAAAACGAUCCACUGGUUUGUCAAACGAUUUAUGAAACGAUUUAUUGGUUUAUCAAACGAUUGUAUUUAUUCUGCCGAUAAAUCGCUUGAUAAACCAAUAGAAACCGAUUGCGGAAUAAAAAAAUAAAAAAUAUCAACUCAAUAUUUCAUAAAUCUUAAUCCAUUGACAUAUAUACAUAUAUAUAUAUAUAUAUAUAUUAAAAUAAUAACUCAAAGAAUUAAUCAAGGAGUAGGCUCUGAUACCACUUGUUAUAAUCAAACAAGAUGAAUACCCUAAUUUCAUAUAUACUGGAAUCUCCUGAUUAAAAAACAAUGAGUAGAAAAAUAAUAGCGGAAGCAUACCUGAAUCUAUUGAGGGAGAAACCUUAUAGGAAGAAAACCCUUUGAGAUGGUCUUCCAAUUCUAGCCACUAGAUUCUGUGUCAAUUUCUCUCUGAGAGGAUUUUUCAGAAAUUAGAAUGCGUAGUCGUAGAAUGGGGACCAUAACCCUAUUUAUAAACCGCUAGGGCAGUUUUAAUUUUAUCACAAUUAUAUUUCUGCCCCUCAUAGAAAUAAUAAUUAUCUAAUGGUAUCUACACAAUAAUCUCAUGACAAUUAUACCCUUAAGCCAAUUAAUCAAUUAUUAAUUAGAUCACUAUAUUUAGGCUUAAUUAAAUGAUAGCACACACAUUUUAAUUAUUUACAUGUGUGGUCCAAAUUAUAGAUUAAUUACAAAAAUUAAUCUAACAUCUUCCUCAAAAUGGGCCUCUUCAAAAGCCUCUCCAUUUCCUCCUUGCUUCUCAUCACCCUCUUCUUCACCUCCGCCCAUGCAGCCAUUUUCAAUAUCCAAAACCGUUGUUCCUACACAGUUUGGGCAGCAGCUGUGCCGGGUGGGGGUAGGCGCCUCGACCCGCGUCAGUCCUGGAGCUCGACUGUGAACCCUGGGACAACUGGAGCCCGUAUUUGGGCCCGGACCGGCUGCAGCUUCGAUGGGGCUGGGCGUGGGCGUUGUCAGACCGGGGACUGCGGUGGCGUCCUCGAAUGCACAGCCUAUGGUGCACCCCCCAACACCUUGGCUGAAUUCGCACUUAACCAGUUCAACAACCUGGACUUCUUUGAUAUAUCCUUGGUCGAUGGGUUUAAUGUGCCUAUGGCUUUUAGCCCCACCUCCAAUGGGUGCUCCCGUGGAAUACGGUGCACGGCCAACAUCGUGGGACAGUGCCCCAGUCAGCUUCGAGCUCAGGGUGGCUGCAAUAACCCAUGCACCGUUUUCAAGACCGAUCAGUACUGUUGCAAUUCCGGGAGCUGUGGCCCUACAGAUUACUCAAGGUAUUUCAAGACUAGGUGCCCUGAUGCUUACAGCUACCCUAAGGAUGAUCAAACCAGCACCUUUACAUGCCCUGGUGGUACCAACUAUGAUGUUAUCUUCUGCCCAUAAAGCCUCUAUUAACUAUAGUAUGCAUGUACUCGCUAGUCUAAACUACUAGGGUGCUUUUGAGUCCAUGUUGAGAUGCAAAAGCCUAGAGGAAUAAAUUUGAGCACAUGUAUGUGUACUACAUGUGAUCAUGUAACAAAAUUUCUAAGCUAGUUAAAGAAAUGGAUGUUUUUACGAGGGAUUUUAUCGAUAUUAUUAAGAAUGUGUUUUAUAGUGAUUUUAUGAAAUGUUUUUAAUUUUUUUUUAUAUUUGAAAGAUAAAAAGUUUUAAAUGUUAAAAAAAACAAAAAUAUUUUCUAAAAUUAUUAUUAAAUACAUUCUAAAAGUGGAUUUAAUAAUGAUUCUAAAAAAAUUUUAUAAUUAAAUAUGAAAAUUUUGAAGUAUUAAAAAAAACUAAAAAUAUUUUCUAAAAUUAUUAUCAAAUAUAUUCUAAAUAAUGUAGGACCUAAUAGAGAAACACUUUUGCAUAAGAAUUUUAAACAAAUAAAAAAAUAAAAAUCAUUCCAUCAAAAUAAUUCUAACUUUCUUUUUGUCUAAUUGGAUUCCAAGUAAGCUCGGUUUUUGUCCGCAAGACCAAUUGUUAAUUUAGUCUUUAGACCACUAGAAUGGAGGUUUCAAGGAAAAAAAAAAAAAAGGGUUUGACUGUGAGCAGUGCUUUGCUGACUGACCUCACUCCCAAAUCAAUUUUCCAUGUGGUGGAAGACGCCUUCCUUAAUGGGUAGGAGGCUGUUAAUGGAGAGUUUGGACUUUGGGGAGAAAUUGAUUGUUUCCCCACUCACUUUCAAUUAUAUCCAUGUACAUGUAAAAAUAUAUAGGAAAAGAAAAAAAUUUAAAAUUUUUCGUCAAAAGCAUCUCCUUCCAAUUGUUAUAUUAAAUAUUUUAUGAUUUCAAAUCUUUUCUGGUUUAAGUUUUGAAUUUACCCUAAUAAGUUUGCCCUUUUUUUUUCUGUCCCUAUUUAAUAUAUAUAAUUAUGUAGAUUUUCCAUUUUGUCUUUCAUAGUACAUAAUUUUGAUAAUAUUUAAUGUCUUUUGCUUGGUUCCCUGCAUAGCAUGUGCGUAGGAUUAUUUUUGGCUUUUAAAUCUGCUUGCAGCCUUCAUUGAACCGAAGUGGAUAGGAAGGGCUUGACUUGUUCGUAUACUCAGAGGGCACUCAACUCACUAGCAAUGCCCCACCAAAGUCGCGUGCAUUGAAUUGUAAAAUCGAUUGACUUUUCACUUUUACCUCUUAAACAAAAGGACACCUUCUCACUCCUUCCAAAUUUUUGAAAAAGAUAUAUAUAUAUAUAUAUAUAUAUAUCUAAAAACUGAAUUUAAUUAGAUUAUUUAUUAGAAAGGUUGGGUCAUCAUUCAUAACACUUCUCAAUACUCGUAUAUGUACUGUUUUUACUAAAUGAAUGAAAAGAAGUAUGAUGAUUAAUUAAUUAAUCAUGAAUAUUAAGAUUAAGAAGAUAAAUCAAUAUAUAAAAAAAAAUAAUCAAAUCAAAAUAAUGCACAAAAUAAAUGACAAGAAAAUUUUACAAAAUAAUUUAUUAAACAAAUUUAAAAUAUAUAUAUUUCAAAAAAUUAUUUUUUUAAGAAUUUCAAAAAAAAAUUAUUAAAAACAAUUUCGAAUAAAUAAUUUCAAUUUAUUUUUUAUUUUUAAAAAAUUUCAAUUUAUUUCCAACAAGUGAUUUGAUUUAAUUUUAUUUAUAUUCAAUUUUUAUUUUUAAGAAAAAUAAUUACACUUAUUUUAUCAAAUGAUUUUUUUAAAAAAAAGGAAAAUUCAAUUCCACAAUAAAAAUGAUUUUUACAUGCUUUUAUUAGAAAAAAAAAAAAGAAUUUUUACAACUUUAUUUUCAAAAAUAUUUUAAUUUAAUUUUAUUUACAAAGAAUUAAUUUCUUUACAAUAAAAUAUUUUCAAUCCAAUUUUAUCAAGAAAAUUAUUUUUACAACUUCAAUUUGCAAAAAAAACUUUCAUUUUAUUUUUAUUAAAAUAUUAUUCAAGACAUUUAUUUAUGAAAAUUAGUUUUAAUGUCAUUCUAAUUAAGGAAAGAUAACUUAUUUAAAUUUUUUGGAUAAUUUUAUUAAAAAAACCUUUUGGACAAUUUCAUUUAAAAAUCAAUUUUUUUGAACAAUUUUAAUUAAACAAAAUAAAUUUUAGACAAUUAUUAAAAACAAUUUUUAAAAAUUUUAAUUAAAAACAAUUUUAGAAUUCCUUUAAAAACAUUUUUUGAAUUUUUUUAUUAAGCAAGCUUUCUUUUAUUUAAAAGAAUCAUUUUAGAACUAUUAUUUUAUUAAAAAAUAUUUAUUAAAUGGUUCCUCUUAUUUAAACAAAAAUUUUGGGUUUGAAUCAAUACAAAUAAAAUCAGAUAAAAGUGAAAAUAAAAUGUAUAUCCAACAAGCCUACAACUCUUUUUUCUUCAUGAAAUUCAACCUUUCAUGUGUCGCGAAUCCAUACUUAGACAGAAUACCAAUGCAAGUAGUGGAAUGGGCCAUGAAAAACGAAAAUUAGUCCAAAAGUAAGUAUUUGAAAAUAUGCAAAAUCCAAAAUAAAUAUUCAAACCCAAAUUCUAUAAGCCCAAUAGGAAAAUUCAAAUUGGUCCAAUGAAUUUCACCAAUGAAAAUAAAUCAAAUUAACAAGUAUAACCCAACAAAAAUAUCUCAUUUGUUAUAAGCAUUAGUUCAAAAUUUUCAAAUUAAUAACCAAAAUCUAAUAUCCAUCAACAAGCCACAAAUCAAAAUAAUCUCAAUUAAGCCUAAGCCCAAUUUAAUACGCAAACUCAAAUUCAUAACCAAAAUCAAACCCAAUUUAAUAUACAUACCUAAAUAAUAUCUAAAAUAUAUCACAAUAUUAUCUCAUACCCGAAUUAAAUAAUUCAUGAGCAAAACCUAUAUCAAAUGUCAAUCAAUCCAAUAAAUUUUACCAAUAAUAAAAUAGCUUAAAUUUCAUAUUAAUUAAUAAACUCAGAACAUGAUAAAUCAAAAUAAAUUGAAUCAAACAUAAAUUCAAUAUCUUAUAAUUCAAGCCUAAUUGAAUAUUCAAAUCCAAAAUCCAAUAAUCACCAAAUCCAAAUACAACAUAAACUAACAAACCCGAAUUUAUAUGAAUACAAAUCAAAAUAUAAGGUCCAAAAUGAUCCAGAUUAUCUAAGCUUACAAAUAAUGUCUAAAUGCACACAUGAAAAUAAUAAAAAUUAGCCCAAACCAAUAAUCUCAAUAAUCAAGAACAAAUUAUUGUAGUGAUUAAACAGAAAUAAUAAAAAUAUAAGGAUAUAAACUUACCCAUGAAGAACCCAUUAUAGUAAUUAAACAUAAAUAACAAAAAUAAAAGAAAAUAAAUUUGCCCAAAUUUGAAGUAUGUUGUUGAAGGGUUGAUAUAGGCUAAUGAAAAUAAAAAUAAAAAUAAAAUGAAAGAAGAUAGAGAGGGAAAGAAAGAGAAAAUGGUGAGAUGAAAGACAGGUGGAAAGGGAGAACGAAAGAGGAAAGGGGGUCGCCGGCCGGCAGCAGAUCACCGAUGGAGACGGACCAACUGUGUUGUCGAUAGUGAGGGUUGAGUGAGUGUGGUGAGGGAAAAAUGAAGAAGAAAAAUGAAGAGAAGAAAAAAAAAAAAAGAAGAAAGGUGGGGCAUGUUCUCUGGAAGUGGGCCAAGAGGGGAGAAAAAGCGGGGAAAAAAAGGGAAAAAAAGAAGAUGAAAGAAAAUGAAAGAAAAGAGAGGAAAAUGGAAAUGGAAGAGAUGAGAGCGGGGGAUAUGGGGUCUCUGACGUGGGAAUGGGCAGGAGAGAGAGAGUUGAGGGAGUGGGUGGAGUAGGUGAGAGAAAAAGAAAGAAAAGAAAAUAAAAGAGGGAGGGAAGGAAGGAAAUGAGAAAAAAAGAAGAAGUAAAAUAAAAUUAGACAAAAUAAUAAAAAAUAAAAAAAUAAAAAUUAACAUUUAAAAUAUAUAAAUAGGUUAAAAAAAAUAAAACUAAGAUUUAAAAAAUAUAAAUGGACCAAAAAAUUUAAAUUUCGAUUUAAAAGGUAUAUAUGGAUAAAAAAAAAAUUCAAAUGUAAUCCAUUUGAAAUAUAAUAAUAAAAUUAAACAUAAAAUUAAUGUAAAAAAAAAAAUAGAACAAAUUUUAAGAUUACAAAAAGUAUAGGGCAUGGUACAAAUUUAUUUUUAUUAUUUAAAUAAAAAAAGAUUAUCUAAAAACAUUACUUUAUUUUUUAAAAUAAGAAAUAAUUUUUAAGAAUUUAUUCUUGAAAUGAGGAGAGUGUUUAGAAUAUUUUUUUCACUUACUUUCUAAAAAAAUAUUAUAAAAAUUAAAUUAAUAAAUAUGCAGAAUAAUUAAAAGUAAAAUGUUAUAUACAAAAGUUAUUUUAAAAAAUAUAUUAACAAAAAUCAAUUUUCUAAACGGACUUCUUCUAUUAAAAAAAUAUUAAAAAUGGUUUGAAGCAUAUAUUCAAAAGUCAUCUUUUGAGAGUAGAUUUCAAAAAUAUUUCCAAAUAGAUUUUAACAUAUCAUUUCAAAGUGAUUCUAAUUAAAAUAUUUUGAUUUAUACUUUUUUAUUCAAAAUAUUUUGAUCAACUUUUAAAUAUAAAACCAAUUCAAAAAUAUCCUCAACACAUUAUUUAAUCAUAAAAAUUCUCAUAAAUUUUUUAUUCUUCAAAUACUUUCCAACAAAUAGUCAAAGUCACAUGCAAACUCUUCCAACAAAUUUCAAAUGCAAGCCACAUACAUAUGCAACACUCCUUAACAUGAUUCGUAAGAAUAAUUUCUCAAUGACACAAAUUUCAAUUUCUACUAAAUAUCUAUAUCAAAAUAAAUAGAAAAAAAAAUUCAAGAUAUCCAAAGAUGAUCACACCUAUUUCAGUUAAUUGUUCUUCCAUUCAAUUUAUAUCCACAAGUAAUAAAUGAAAACUAAAACUGGAAAUAAAUCAAAGAAUAUAAUAAGAAUAAAUAAAUAAAUAAUGAUAUCAGAAUUUACAUAAAAAACUUUCAAAAAGAUUAAAAAAACACGGACUUACCAUCAAUAAAAAAUUCCACUAUAAAAAAUAAAUAAUGUGUACAACGAUUUACCUAACUCAAAUCUUUUAAUCUUUCAUAGACUUAACCAACACUUUCUCACUUCAAUAGCAUAUCCUCAUCUUUCAUAAUAUACUUGGCCUUUUCGUUAUACUUGAUCUUAACCUCUUCUUAAAGCUUGUUUAAGAAGAAAAAUAGGUUUUUACCCAAACCCAAAUAGAUCAAAAAUUGAGAGAAUGAAUGAAUAAAUAGAUUAACCUUUUUUUUUUCUCAAGAAAAUUUAUUGAAAGCGACUUUAAAAUCAAUAAGAAAAUGAGAUUUUCUUGACCACCAAACACUGUAAAUUUGGUAAGAAAAAAAAAGUACAAGGGCAAAAUAACUAUAUAUAUAUUUUAUUUUGUUAGAAAAAAAAUUUGAUAUAAAAAGUAGUUUUAGUGCUACAAAUAUAUCUCUAUAUAUAUAUAUAUACUCUUAAUUGAUAUCUUCUUCAAAAUGGUCCCCAUACUGUGUUCUAGCCACGACAGAUAAUACGAUUGAGAUUAACGAGACGGCGCUUAGAUAAUUCUUGUGUACGUGGAAUGAAUGGAUGGGAAUUCUUGAAUACUUAAAUACUUGACUAGUUCAAUGUUCACAUUUAUCCAUCCAGAAACAGUGGGCUUCAAGGUGCUUUCCUUAGCCCAUUGGGCCCUGCCAUCUACCCUGUGCAGCCCCGUUAGCUGACUUGCUUGCGUCUAUGGAAUGAAGUCAAGCACGAGGGCACAAAGAUAUAUGACGCCAUUCUUUGGAAUUUAAUAAAAGCUGUUUCCCAUUUCUCCGCCGCCCCCACCCUAUAUAAACCCCUACCCAUUUACUCGUAAACCACCAUCACCACUACAAAGCCUGUCUUCCUCAAAAUGGGCCUUUUCAAAAGCCUCUCCAUUUCCUCCUUCCUUCUCGCCACCCUCUUCUUCACCUCCGCCCAUGCAGCCAUUUUUAAUAUCCAAAACCAUUGCUCCUACACAGUUUGGGCAGCAGCUGUGCCGGGUGGGGGUAGGCGCCUCGACCGGGGACAGUCCUGGAGCCUGACUGUGAACCCUGGCACAACUGGAGCCCGUAUUUGGGCCCGGACCGGCUGCAGCUUCGAUGGGGCUGGGCGUGGGAGGUGCCAGACCGGGGACUGCGGUGGCGUCCUCCAAUGCACAGCCUAUGGUGCACCCCCCAACACCUUGGCUGAAUUCGCACUUAACCAGUUCAACAACCUGGACUUCUUUGAUAUAUCCUUGGUCGAUGGGUUUAAUGUGCCUAUGGCCUUUAACCCUACCUCCAAUGGGUGCACCCGUGGGAUACGGUGCACGGCCGACAUCGUGGGACAGUGCCCCAGUCAGCUCCGAACUCAGGGUGGCUGCAAUAACCCAUGCACCGUUUUCAAGACCAAUGAGUACUGUUGCAAUUCCGGGAGCUGUGGCCCGACAGAUUACUCAAGGUAUUUCAAGACUAGGUGCCCUGAUGCUUACAGCUACCCUAAGGAUGAUCAAACCAGCACCUUUACAUGCCCUGGUGGUACCAACUAUGAUGUUAUCUUCUGCCCAUAAAGCCUCUAUUAACUAUAGUAUGCAUGUACUCGCCAGUCUAAACUACUAGGGUGCUUUUGAGUCCAUGUUGAGAUGCAAAAGUCUUUGUAAGGAAUAAAUUUGAGCACAUGUAUGUGUACUGAAUGUGCUCAUGCAACAACUUUUCUACGCUAGUAGAAUAAAUGGAUGUUUUUAUGAAUCUUCGGGACUUUACACAUAUUAUUAAAUCAUGUAGGACCUGGUAUAGAAGCACUUUGCGUGCAAAUAUAAGAAUUUUUAAAAAAUAAAAAAUAAAAACCAUUCUAUCAAAAUAAUUCUAAACUUUUUUUGUCUGGUGGGAUUGCACAUGAAACAUCACUUUGAAAAAGAUGGAAAAUAUUUAUAAAAAAAAACUAACUCAUUUUUCCAACGGUUGAAUUCAAUUUAAAUAACAAAUCCAUCAUUAUAAAGUAAAAAAUAAAAUUGUUUUUUCAAAAAUCAAGUUUAAUAUUAAAACAAAACAGAUAAGAGAUUAAAAACAAAAGUUAUAAAACCGACAAGAGAGAAGAAUGGAAUGUGGUAAAAAAAAAACAUAUUUUGUAUUUAUUUUUAAAUAACAGUUUUUAAUGUUUUAGUAAUGGUUUUAAGAUGCGUUUUUAAUAUUUUUUAAAAAAUUUAAAUAUAAAAUAAUUAAAAAUACUUUUUAAAAUCGAUGUGAAACGCGUUAUUAGACUUUUUAGACCAUACAGGUUUUAGGGAAAAAAACAAAAUAAAGAAGAUUUGAUUGUGAGCAAAGCUUUCAAUUUUCCAUGUAGUGGAAGAAGCCUUCUAUAUGGGUAUUUUAUUUUGUCCUCAUAACAUGAUAUUUAUCAUAUUUGGUAUCUGCAUAGUAUAUAUACAAAAUUCUUUUUGAUUUUUCUACUCUUUGCACUUCUUAGUGGUCUGUCUAUUACUUUUAUAUAUAAUAAAAGUCAAUAACUAAAUGUAGAGAAUUUUUUGCGGGUCCAAACAUCACAUGGUUAGUUCAUGGAGUUGCUUUCGGAGAGGCCUGAACCACCCACCAGAGUUGAGCUUAUCUCUUCGCUUUUACAUCUUAAAUGACACUAGAAAAAGGUAUAUGGCAUAGUAGAAAACUAUUUUUAAAAAUAUUUUUUAUUAUUUAAAUAAAUAAAAAUUUACCUGAAAAUUUUUAUUAUUAUUUUAAAUAAGAAAGUGUUUAGAAUAUUUUUUCACUUAUUUUCUAAGAAUCAUUUAAAAAAUUUAAUUAUAUAAAUAUUGAGAAGAGUUGAAAAUAAAACAUUACAUAUAAUUUUUAAAAAUAUAAAAAUUUAUUAAAAAUAUUUCAAGUUUCUAAACAUGCUUCUAGUAAAAAAAAAAAUUAAAAAUUGUUUGAAACAUAUUUUCAAAAAUUAAUUUUGGACAACAGUUUUAAAAAAUAUUUCCAAAUAGACCAUGAAAUAUCAUUUCAAAAUGAUUUUAAUUAAAGUUGUGCAGAGUAUUUUAACAAUGAUAUGGACCUUAUCUGGAAAAUAUUUUAAAUAAAAAAUAUAUUUUUAUUUAAAUUUGUGCCAGUGUAUUUGCUUACAAGUUUAUUUAUUAUCACGUUUCAGAAAAAACAUCAGCUUCAGUUGAUAAGUUUUGAAAGAUACUUCGUAGUGGACCCACAUGGAUCACGAAUCCAUCUAAAACCCAACAUUUAUGGGCUUUCCAUGACAUUGGGCCCAGUCACGUCACGUGUCUUUUAAGUGGAAAAUAAACUUUGAAGCGGUUGCUUCUCAGUAUUUUAAAUGAUAAAUGAUGAUAUUAUCGAAAAUAGUCCCAGUCUCAGAAUAAUUGAAGCGGCCAAUCAUAUUGGAAUAAUUCAACAGGCUGUCUCAUUGAAUUUUGAAAUAAAUUUUUCCAACGUCAUCCACCGACGUUUUUCUCAUUCAGCAUUCGGUAUUUAUGAAUUUACAUAAAAGUUAAGGCAAAUUUCUGAAAUUAUAAAAAAUAAAAAUAAAAAUGAUAAUGACGUGGGGCCUCGUCUCUGCAAAAUAUUUUAAAUAAAAUUAUUUAUUUUCUAAAAACAAACCUUUUUCAUUUAAAAAAAAAAAAUUAUUGGCUUUUGAUGAUAAGGUUUGAGGAAAAAAAAGGCCACCCCGCAUUGACUCUUUCUUUCAUGCCUACGAGCCACAACGAAGUGGACCACAAAGAUGAUGCCAUCAUUUGGAAUUUUUACAAGCACGCGGUUUUUCCACAUUCACACCAACCCAAGCCCUCCUUCACACUAUACAAACCCCUACCCUUUUCCUGGAUAGACCACCCUACUCCAACCAUCAAGCCUAUCUUCCUCAACAAUGGGCCUCUGCAAAAUCCUCUCCAUUUCCUCAUUCCUUCUCACCACCCUAUUCUUCACCUCCAGCUAUGCAGCAACCUUCAACAUCCAAAACCGUUGCUCCUACACAGUUUGGGCGGCGGCAAUCCCAGGCGGGGGCAUGCGGCUUGGCUCAGGCCAAUCCUGGAGCCUCGAUGUGAAGGCCGCCACCACCGGAAGCCGUGUUUGGGGCCGUACCGACUGCAGCUUCGAUGCGUCAGGGAAUGGGAAGUGUGAGACCGGGGACUGUGGUGGCCGCCUCCAAUGCAAGGCCUAUGGUACACCCCCUAACACCUUAGCCGAAUUCGCACUUAACCAAUACAGCAACUUGGACUUCUUUGAUAUAUCUUUGGUUGAUGGAUUUAAUGUGCCUAUAGCCUUUAAUCCUACUUCCAAUGGGUGCACCCGUGGCAUCAGUUGCACCGCCGACAUCGUGGGAGAGUGCCCCGCUGCGCUAAAGACUACCGGUGGUUGCAACAACCCAUGCACCGUUUUCAAGACCGAUGAAUAUUGUUGCAAUUCUGGGAGCUGUAAUGCUACAGAUUUCUCAAGGUUUUUCAAGACUAGGUGCCCUGAUGCUUAUAGCUACCCUAAGGACGAUCAGACAAGCACCUUCACAUGCCCUGGCGGUACCAAUUAUGAAGUUAUCUUCUGCCCAUCAGCAGUGCCACAAACAUGUGUUUUUAUUAUAAAUUAAUUUGUGGUAAAAAAAACAUUUUGUGUUACAAGAUUUUUUUUCCACAAAAAAAUAUUUCCGACCAGUUUGUUGCUACAAAUUCGUAAACAAUUAUUUUUAAUCACAAAAUUUAAUUUUAUAAUAAAAUAAAUAAUUUUUUCAUAAAAUAAAUUUUAUAACAAAAUAUCAAUAUUCACCAUUAAAUAAAAUUUAUGAUAAAAUGUCAUUUUUCACCGUAAAAUAAAAUUUGUGACAACACAUCGUUUUUCAUGAAAAUAAUUACGAUAAUAUGCGACUUUUUUGUUAUAAAAAAAUUCAUGAUAAAAAAUUACCCUUCUACCAAAAAACAUUAAUUGUAACGGUCCAAACCACUGGUCUUGACAAGGAAAUAUGACAUACAGUCAAGGAGGGUUUGCUUAAAAGUCAUUAUCCUACUUGGAAACUACCUCCCUUAUUGGGGUACAUGGCAUUUUUUUAAUAAUAUUUGACUCACUUUUCCGGGAAACCUAGUUGUAGAAGUCCAAACAGGUUGCUUUUCAGGGGAAUUCACGGCAUAAAUAGAAAAGAAAGUUGCCAGAAAUGCCCUAACUGAUUAAAAUCAUUACCUUUAAUUGCAGAGAAUUAUGUCUAUCAAUUAAAUAAAUUAUAAAUAUAUGUUUGAAUUGAUUUUUAAGAAAUUGAAUGGUUUUUUAAGUUCAAUAAGAAUUUUAAUAUUGAUUUAACUAAUUUUAUUUAAAAAGCUUAUGAUUUAAAAAAUAGUUUUAUAUGAUUUAGAUAAGAAAUUAUUUAAUAUUUAAUAUAAGUUUUAUAAUACUAAUAUUAUGUAUUAAAAAUUAUGAUUUUGGUUGGACUCUCAACAUUUAGUUAAAUCUAAAAGUAGAAAACUAUUUCAAACAAAGUCAUGUUUUCUAUUUCAUUAUUAAUUAAUAUAUAUUUUUUUUAAUUCGGAUGUGAAAAGGUGUUUCAAAGUUUAAGAUUGUCUAAUAUUUUAAAUCAAAAUCUCAAUACUUAAAUUAAAGAAAAAUUUAGAUCGUAUUUAUUUGUUUAAUUGAAUAGAAAAAAUUAAAAUAUUUAAUUUUUUUAAUUUUAAUUAAAAGUAAUCUAUUUAUAUUAAUCAAUAUAACGAAAUCGAAUAUAUUGAUAAUAAAUUUACUUUAAAUAUCUUAAUUGAUAUUAAUAUAUUACUUGAACUGAAAAAACUAAAAAGCAAAAAAUAAACUCCACACUUAAAAAGAUUCUGGGCCAUGGAUACAGAAGCCCAAAAGAUUUAUUGAUGGGGGCAGUGGGCCUGGCCUGCCGUGUGCAGCUGCAUUUGUUUGACUUGUCCUCAAGCCUAGUCAACGUCUCCGUUCAAUGAAGCUGAUGUAUCGAAAAAUCCCAAAAAGCCUCAUUUUUCCCGCCAAACGCGUAAACCCCAAAAUGAGUUUCUUCUGCAACUGCAGCAAUCUCUCUACUUCCUUCUUCCUCCUCAUCUUCAUCAAUGCAACCAUUUUCGAAAUCCGAAACAGCUGCCCCUAUACCGUCUGGGCAGCCGCCUUACCCGGCGGCGGAAGGUAACUCGACCAAGGCCAGACCCGGAACCUUUCAGUGAGCUCCAACACAACCCAAGGCCACAUCUGGGGCAGAACCAAGUGCAGUUUCGAUGAAGCCGGAAGGGGGAACUGCGAGUCCGGUGGAUGUGGAGGCCUCCUUGAAUGCCAAGAAUAUGGUUCACCGCCCAACACCAUUGCCGAGUACGCCAUAAACCAAUUCAACAAAACUGAUUUCUUCGAUAUUUCUCUGGUGGUUGGAUUCAACCUUCCAAUGGAGUUUAGCCCAACUUCUGAUGGGUGCAAACGUGGGGUCAAGCGUACGUGCGACAUUAACGGGCCGUGCCCAAACGAGUUGAGGGACCCGGGUGGGUGUAACAACCCAUGUACCGUUUUCAACAAUACUCAGUACUGUUGCAAUACCGGGAGCUGUUAGCCUACACCUUCAUGUUUUUCAAGGCUAGCUGCCCAGAUGUAUACAGUUACCCUUUGGGAGAUGAUUCAAUCGGUACGUUUACCUGCGCCGCAUGCACUAACUAUCGUAUAGUCUUCUCCGAGUUUUGGGGUAGCCCAAAGUUUAAACCUUUUUGCAAAACUUACAAUCAAACUCGUCCUUUUUAUUAUCACCUAGAGUCAUAUUAUGUUUUUUUUUUCAAAAUUUAAGUUGAAAAUUUUAUUUUUGAAUUGAAGCCAUAAUUAAUAACCAAGACUUCAUUUUGAACGGAAACCUCAUUUGAUAAGUGAGACUUAGUUUUUUAAUUAAAACCUCAUUUUGACAAUUAAAACUUCAUUUAUUAAACUAAAACCUUAAUUGUGACUUUAGUUAUUUUUUUUACUUUAAAAUUUAAUUAAAAAUAUUAAAUUUCAAAUUAUUAUUGAAAUUAAAAAUAUUUACUUUAAUAAUAAAAAAUUAUAUAUUUAAGUUUAAGGAUUCAACAUUAUUCUAAUAAAGAUAAAUUGAUAAAUAAAAUAAAUAAAUGAAUAAUUUUAUUUAUCAAUAAAUUAAUAAUUUUAAAAUAAUAAAGUUAUAUAAUAUAUAAAUAAAAUAUAAAAUUAUAUAAUUUAUUAAUUUAAGUUAUAUUACAAAUACUAUAUGUUACCGGGCAACUAAAAAGGAAGAAAGUUAUGUAUAGGUUCUCUCUUUGUAAAGACACGUAAGAUUAUAUAAUUUUCUUUUUUACUAUAUGAAUAUUUAGUAAACAAUUUUUGUGACAUAGAUGAAACUACUAAAACUUAUAUUUUGUAGUAAACAUUUUUUAAUUAAUUUUAUUAGCUAAUUUUAAAAUGUAUCUUCAAGGCAUAUAUGUUGUGGGUAUAAAUAAUAAUUUUUUUUUAAUGAAAAAUUAUAAACAUAUACUUUAAAAUAAUAAUAAAAUCUAUAUAUAAAAGCUUAAGAAUAUACUAUUAUUUUAAUAAAGAUAAAUUUGUGAAAAUACAAAUAAAUUAAUAUCUUAAAAAUAAAACAAAUUAAAUAUCUUAAAUUAAUAAAUUAUAUAAUUUUAUAUCUUAUUAUAUUUAUCAAUUUAUCUUUAAACCUAAGUCCUAAGUCCAAGGUUUAAAUAUUUUAUUAUAUUUAUUAAUUUAUCUUUAUUGAAGUAAUACUAGAUUUUUAAGUUUAAACAUAUAAUUAAUUUAUUAUUAAAGUAUAUAUUUUUAAUUUCAACAAUAAUUUAUAAUUUAAUAUUUUAAUUAAAUUUUAAAGUAAAAAAAUAAUUAAUUGAAGCUUCAAUUGAAAAUUAAGACUUUAAUAAAAAAAUGAAGUCUCAAUUAUCAAUUGUGAAUUCAAUUUAAAAAUGAGGUAUGAUUUGACAAUUAAGGUUUCAGUUUAUAAAUGAAACCUUAAUUGUCAAUUGUGGUUUUAGUUCAAAAAUAAACCCUCAAUUGAUAAUUGAGGUUUUACUUAAAUUUUAAAAUAUAUAUAUAUUAUGAUACGACUCUUAUGUGACAAUAAAGGACUAGUUUGAACAUAAAUUUUAUAAAAAUGUUAAAUCUUACAUUUCUUUUUAUACAAGCUUAUUUAUUUUUGUUUCUUAAAAAAAAAAAAAUUAUCAGCUUCCCUUGAUAAGAUUUGAGGAAAAACAAAGAUGAGGUAGGAUUGGCUCUUCCAUGCCUCUAAGUCGAGCACCAUCUUUUAGAUUUUAACAAAGCUUAUUGCUAAAAUAUUUUCAUUUAGGGUCAUUAACUUUAACUUAGGGUUCAUCGAGGAACUUUUUCAGAAAUAAUUCUUAAAAAGUAAUUCUCAAGAAUAACUUUUAAAAAUAAUAUUUUAAUAUUUUUAAAAUAAAAAGUUUUGAAGAGCUUAGAAUAUUGUCAAUUUUUUUUUAUAUUUUUAAAUAUUUCUUAAAAAUAAUUCCUAUUUAUAAUACCUUAUUUUAAGACAUUCUUCGUGUUUAUUCAAUAAUUCCUAAAAAGUAAUUAAAAUAUAAUAUAUGUAAAAAAAAUCACUUUUCAUAGUUUUAGUUUUAAAUUUAUAAUUAACAAUCGAAUGUGUUUUUAUACUUUUUUUAUUCUAAAAACCAAAAAGAUAAAUCCUUAAUAGAAAUUUUCAAACAUUGUUUUAGUGUCCCACCCCAAGUCCACCUUCGCUCUAUAUAAACUCCUAGCCAUUUCCUCACGGACCACCCCAAACCAUAAAGCCCAUCUUCCUGAAAAAAUGGGCCUCUUCAAAACCCCUUUAAUUUCCUCAUUCCUUCUCACCACCCUAUUCUUCGCCUCCUGCCACGCAGCCACGCUGAUCAACAUCCAAAACCAUUGCUCCUACACAGUUUGGGCGGCGGCGGUACCAGGUGGGGGCAGGCAGCUUGGUCCGGGCCAAUCCUGGAGCCUCGAUGCGAACCCUGGCACAGCCCGUGUGUGGGCACGUACCAACUGCACCUUUGAUGGGUCAGGGAACGGGACGUGUGAGACCCGAGAUUGUGGUGGCCGCCUCCAAUGCCAAGCCUAUGGUACACCCCCUAACACCUUGGCCGAAUUCGCACUUAACCAAUUCAACAACAUGGACUUCUUCGAUAUAUCUUUGGUUGAUGGAUUUAAUGUGCCCAUGGCUCUUAAUUCUACUUCCAAUGGGUGCACCCGUGGCAUCCAAUGCAGCGCCGACAUAGUCGGACAGUGCCCUGAUGAGCUCCGAGCUCCCGGUGGUUGCAACAAUCCAUGCACUGUUUUCAGGACCGAUGAAUAUUGUUGUUAUUCUGGGAACUGUGGCCCUACAACUUACUCCAAGUUUUUCAAGGAUAGGUGUCCGGUGGCUUAUAGCAACCCUAAUGAUGAUCAAACAAGCACCUUUACAUGCCCUGGUGGUACUAACUAUGAUGUUAUCUUCUGCCCAUGAUGCCUCUACUAGUCCUGUUAGACGAUUUGGUACCAUCUUGGGAUCCAAAUGUCUAGAAGAAUAAAUUUGAGCACAUGUCCAUGUCCAUAGUCAUGUAAUAAGAUUUCUACCAUCAUAGAAAUCGAAUGAUUUUCAGAGGGGUUAGAAGCUUUGAAUAAUGUUUAAAUGUGCUUUACUUAUAAAAGUUUAGAACUAAUUCUUCAUAAAAAUAAUUUUGUCCAAGUGUUAUUGUUUAAGAGUUUAUUUGAUAUUGAAUUAUGAAAGUAUUUUGAAUUAUUUUAACAUUUAAAAAAUAAUUUUUCUUUAAAUAUUAAAAAAUUUAAAAAUGCUUCUUAUAAUUAUUAUCAAAUAAACUCUAAAUACUAUAUAUUAAAAACAUAAUUACUAGAAUGACCUCUAAAUGAAUUCAUAUUUUAAGUACACCGAGAAUGAUAGAAUUCAGUAAUGGUGUUUUAAAUUAAAUUGGUAAAUAUUUUGGGAUUUUCCAUUUGAAUAAUUUUUAGAAGUGAAUAAAUUAUUUUUCAGCUCUAACAUAAACAAAUCCUGUUAUUGUGGUGUGGAAAAACCUUUGCUCAAGAGUCAAGAGCGGUGGUGGAGGCUUGAGUUACGUACCCAAGUUGAAUUUUUGUAAAAGGAUGUGGAGGAGUAGAGUACAAGGAAAAUUGAUUUGCGGACAAGACCAGUUAGUUAGUGAAGCUUGAUUAAAGUCGAAGUUUUGGUGUUUUCUCCCAAGACUUCCUUUGUAGUGGUCCAAAAAAUUGGUAAGGAAAUAUGACAGACAUCGAAAGAGGAUUUGGCUAAAAGUCAAUAACUAUUUGGAGCUAUGUUCCCUUCUCGGGGCGAUGGCGUUUGCUAGUAAUCUUUGACUCGCUCUUCCCCGUAGCUUCCAUAGCAGUCCAAACCGGUUGCUUGUUCAAGGAAAACACCGUAUAAAUAAGAGGGAAGUGGCUAAAAGUCUAACUAAUUAAAAUCGUAGUCAUUUAUUGUGUGGAAUAGCGGGACACAUACGUAUUGAAGUUGAACUUGUCCAUCAAUUAAAUCUAAUACAAUUUUCUUUUUCAAUCCAACUAUUACGUAAUAAAUUUUAAAUUUCAAAUAUAUUUGCUUUUAAAAUUUACUCAAACCAAUUUAAUAACUUACAAAUAACUAAUUCAAUAACUUGGACUUCUUUAAUAUAGUAUUGUCCAAGCAUAUAUUUGAUAUGUCUUUAAUUUAUUUUUAAUUGUGCUUCUAAGCUACGUUUGGUUCUCGAAAAAUUUGAGAGAAAAUUUAAAAGAAAAAAAUUACAGAUGAAAAAAAAUAAAAAAUAGUUUAAAUAUAAUAAAUUAUAUUUGAUUUGAUUUUCUAUUUUUUUUUAUAGUGAAACAAAAUAUGAGAAAACCAUUUUUAUUAAUAUUUUUUUUCUUUAGAACACUUUCCAACAUAACUUACCAUUUAUUUUUUUGGUCAUGCAAAAGUUGAUGUAAAAAAUAUAGUUAGUCUCUCUUAUAUCAUUCAUUUGAAAUUGAGUAGAUUAAUGGUGUUUGUUUUUUUGGUUUUUUACUUAAAGCAAUUUAGUUUUAGAAUUUAGGUUGUUUGUUUUUCUACUUUUUCAUGACUUAUUAUAAACUUUUUACUAAAUAGAAAAAGUCAAAAUAUGUAGCUUUUUCUAAGUAGGAAAAAUAACAUAUUGAUUUUUUUUACUUUUUAAUACUUAAUAGAAAUAAAAUACUACAAAAACAAAUAACCUAAUAUUUAACACUAUUAAGCAUUAAGGUUCUAUUUAGAAUUAAGUAAAAAAACAAACAUCAUCUUCACACUAAGUAAUAACCCUAUAUUAGUCCUAAUAAGUAAUAAAAUUCCUCUACUAAUACAUGGUAUGGAUAAAAUAUUUACUAAAUUAACAACAUGAAUGUAAGUAAUUUAGAUAUUAGUAGGAUAUAUUUUUGUCUUAAUUAUUUAAAAAUAUAAACAUAUUUAUAUUAGGUUCUUGCUUUUUAUAAAUAUUAAUUCAACAUUUUUAGUAAUUUUUUUUUUAAAUUUAAUAAUUACAUAACCAAAAGUAAAAAAAAAAAAAAAUCAUUUUAUGAUGAUUUUUUGUCAAUUUUCAAUGAUUUCUUUCUAGUUCUUUGUUUUCAGUAGGUUAUUGAGUUAAUAAAGAAAUAAUGAAAUAUAAUGUGAUUGGGUUUUGGGUAUUUUUUUUUUUUAUAAUUUGUUUAAAAAAAAUUAGAUAAUAAAAAUAUCAUAUAUAUAUAUUUUGUUAUAAAAUUUUUAAAAGGAAAAAAAUUGUUGCUAAAUAUGAUUUUCAAAAACAUUUAUCACAAUUUUAAUUCAAAAAAUUGAAAAAUAAAAGUGUAAUGGAAGAUACUACUAAUGUAGUACAAGCAAUAAAUAUUUUUACCCUUAGUUGUGAAAAAUAUAGAGGAAAGAAAUUUUAUGAUGUCUGUUUCUAGAAGGUUGUAGGAAACCUGUUUGCCACGCCAGCCUAUUAAUAUUUUCUUCUUCGAAAAUUAAGAAAUUAUGGCAUUUUUUUAAAAAAAAAUUAUGCUUAAAAAUAGUUUUUUAUUUAGAAUAUAAAACUUAAAUUUAAAGAAAUUGAGAAUAUAUUCUAAAACUGAAUUAUCUUUUAGAAUAAAUUUAAGGGUUUUUUUUUAUUAUGUUCUAUUAAAUAAUAAUUAUUAAAAAUAUGAAAAUUAUUUUUUUUUAAAAAUAUAUUAUAUAUGUGUAUGUCAACUUUAAGAAAAAUAAAUAAAUAAAUAAAUAUAUAUAUAUAUAUAUAUAUAUAUAUUUUAUGUCUGAGAUUUUAAACAAAAUUUUAUUUAUAAAAAUAAUUAAAAAUUAUGUUUUGCCUAACAUGCCUAUGUUCUAGUCGUCUACGGAGUUGGUUCGGGAUGGCAGUGGAAAAUAUACUUUAGAUAUUUUCUCUUCUCUAUAGUCAGAUGCUUCUGCGUAUUUUAAAUGGUAAAGACCAAAACUCAAUUAUGAUAUUAUCGAAAAUAGACCCAGUCCAAAGUGGUCAUUCAUACUGGCAUAGUUCCAGGAAGGUGAUCAACAUCAGGGCUGUCUCAUUCAAGAAAGGAAAUUUGCACCCACGUUUUCUAGAUACAUUCCUACUGUUCUGAUGAUUCGGUAUGCACGAAUUUAUGCAAAGGUUAGGCAGAUUUCUGAAAAUAAUAAAAAUGGUAAUGAAGUGGACCCUUCUCUCUGUAAAAUAUUUUAAAUAAAAAAUACUUAUUUUUCUAAAAAUAAGUAUUUUCAAUAUGUAAUAUAUGUUUUAAAAAAAAAAAUUAAUUUACAAGCUUAUUUAUUUUUAUUUCUUAAAAAUAUUAUCGGCUUUUGUUGAUAAGAUUUGAGGAAAGAAAAAGGGCCACCUCACAUCGACUCUUCCAUGCCCGCAGGCCCCAACGAAGUCGACCACAAAGAUGACGCUAUCUUUUGGAAUUUUUACAGGGAGGUUUUUUCACAUACACACCAACCCAAGCCCACCUUCACCCUAUAAAAACCCCCACCCGGUUCCUCACAGAUCACCCCACUCCAACCAUCAAGCCUAUAUAUCUUCCGAAACUCAACAAUGGGCCUCUGCAAAAUCCUCUCCAUUUCCUCAUUCCUUCUCACCACCCUAUUCUUCACCUCCAGCUAUGCAGCUACGUUCAACAUCCAAAACCAUUGCUCCUACACGGUUUGGGCUGCGGCAGUCCCAGGCGGGGGCAUGCAGCUUGGCUCAGGCCAAUCCUGGAGCCUCAAUGUGAAUGCCGGCACCACUGGAGGCCGUGUUUGGGCCCGUACCAACUGCAACUUCGAUGCGUCAGGGAAUGGGAAGUGUGAGACCGGGGACUGUGGUGGCCUCCUCCAAUGCACGGCCUAUGGUACACCCCCUAACACCUUAGCCGAAUUCGCACUUAACCAAUACAGCAACUUGGACUUCUUUGAUAUAUCUUUGGUUGAUGGAUUUAAUGUUGCUAUGGCCUUUAAUCCUACUUCCAAUGGGUGCACCCGUGGCAUCAGUUGCACCGCCGACAUCGUGGGAGAGUGCCCCGCUGCGCUAAAGACUACCGGUGGUUGCAACAACCCAUGCACCGUUUUCAAGACCGAUGAAUAUUGUUGCAAUUCUGGGAGCUGUAAUGCUACAACUUACUCCGAGUUUUUCAAGACUAGGUGCCCUGAUGCUUAUAGCUACCCUAAGGACGAUCAGACAAGCACCUUCACAUGCCCUUCCGGGACCAAUUAUGAAGUUAUCUUCUGCCCAUAAAUCUAUUAUUUAAAUCAUAUGCUAGUAUGCCUCUACUGGUCUCAACUAUUAGGAGGCAAUGGUAUCCACCUUGGGUUCCAAAAGCCUAGAGGAAUAAAGUUGAGCCCAUAUUCGUGGUCAUGUAUUAAGAUUUCUACACUAGUCGAAGCAAUGGAUGCCUUUUUUUAUAUAGAUAUAUGCUAUCUUCUUCUUCUAAUCUCUGUGGUCCCUUCCAAGUAACAUUUCAUAUAGAUAUAUGAAUUUUAAUGAUUAUUCUUCUUCAGAAUUCUUUUUUUUUUUUUUUUUGAAAAUGAAAUUAAGCUUAACAUGAACAAAAUUCUGCUAUCAUGGUACGGAGAAAUCUUUGCUUGAGAGCGGUGGUUGAGGAUUGAGUCACCUACCCAAGUCAAAUUUUUGUAACAAUUAGAUGUUCAUCUUUAGAGUACUACAAGGAAAAUUGAUGUGAGGAUAAAGACCAGUUAACGAAGCUUGACUGACGUCAAAAUUUUAUUUUAUUUCCUUUUCUCUAAUCCUACCUUGUAGCGGUCCAAAUUAAUUGUCUUGACAAGGAAAUAUAACACAUAGCCAAGGAGGAUUUGCCUAAAAGCCAUCAUCCUGUUUGAAAACUACCUCCCUUAUUGUGCACAUGACACUUUUUCUAAGGGGAAUAAUCCAACCAUACAUUGGACCAAUAAAAUAAGUAUUUUUGGGAUUUUAUUUUUACCUUCACAAAUUGAGUGCGUAAAGUGCGGGGGAAAAAAACUCAUUCAUGCAUUUCAAUAACACUUGUGAAUUUAUUCCAAAAUUACAUUCAAAGUACACCUAUCAUUUUUUUUUACAUCAACUCUCUCACACCUCCAUUUCACCCGCCAUGUUCAUACGGUUUUUUUAUCUCUCACCAACAUAUUCAUAGUCUCAUGUAUUUUCUUAUAAAACAUCUUUAAUUUCAAUUUUUUUUUCACUCUCUAAUCUCUCCAUAUUUAUUGAUUUUAAUCAUUUUUUAGACACAUUAAACUUAAAAUGAUAAUAUAUAAUAAAUAAUUAAUAAUAAAAAAUUAAAUAAAAACAUAAUAUUUAAUGAACAAAAAUUAAAAUAUUAUCUCACAAAUAAUAUACUUGAUAAUUUUAAAUAUUAAUUAUAAUAAUGUUUAAGAUUUAAAUUUAAAAAUUAUGUUUUUAUUAUUUAGAGGCUUAUGAUAUAAUUUUUUUUAUAUUAAUACUAAAUAAAAGAUUUAUUGAUUUUGUAAAUCUUAUCAUACGUAAAAGUAAAAAAUAUCUUUGUAAUAUUAUUUUAUUAUUUUUAUUUUGAUAUAAAAUUUUUCAUUUGUAAUAUUAUUUUAUUAUUUUUAUUUUGAUAUAAAAUUUUUCAUAUCAAAAUCACAAUAAGUGAUAGUAGUUUUUUUUUUGUUAUGGUUUUAAUUGUGGUUUUAACUUUUUACUUGGUUAAAUUUUUUAAUUUUUUAUCAAGAUAAAAUAUAAAAGAAAAUAUGUUUUUUCAUAAAAAAAAAAUACAUUGUUUUAGGGAAAUUGAGAUACUUAUCUCUUUUAUCAUGAUGCAUAUACUCCUUUUGGAAUUCUCGGGAAGUGUUUUUAAAUUCUCUCCCACCUCGAAAAAGACUUUGAAACUUCAAGUAAGAAAAAUAAAUACAUCCUUUAAGAAAAAUGGAUUUUCUUUGAAUUGGUUGCCUCACAAUAUUUUAAAUGAUAAAGACUAAAAUUCAAUUAUGAUAUUAUCGAAAAUAGUCCCAAUCUAACGACUAGUCAAGAUAUUUGAAGUGGCCAAUCGUAUUGGAAGAAUUCCAGGAAGGUGCUCAACAGGGUUGUCUCAUUCAAAUAAGGAAAUUUGAAAUAAAUUUUCUCAAUACCAUGCACCCACGUUUUCUAGAUACAUUCCUACUGUUCUCAGAAUUGAGUGCUCAUGAAUUUACAUAGAAGUUAGGCAGAUUUCUGGAAAUAAUAAAAAUGAUAAUCACGUAGAACCUUGUCUCUGUAAAUUAUUUUAAAUAAAAAAUACUUAUUUUUCUAAAAAUAAGUAUUUUCAAAAUGUAAUAUAUGUUUUUUUUUUUUUUAAAUAAUAAUAAUUUACAAGCUUUUUUAUUUUUAUUUCUUAAAAAAAUUAUGGGCUUUUGUUGAUAAGAUUUGAGGAAAAACAAAAAGGGCCACACUACAUUGACUCUUCCAUGCCUACAGGCCACAACGAAGUCGACCACAAAGAUGACGCCAUCUUUUGGAAUUUUUACAGGACGGUUUUUCCACAUACACACCAACCCAAGCCCACCUUCACCCUAUAUAAACCCCCACCCAUUUCCUCACAGAUCACCCCACUCCAACCAUCAAGCCUAUCUUCCGAUCCUCAACAAUGGGCCUCUGCAAAAUCCUCUCCAUUUCCUCAUUCCUUCUCACCGCCCUAUUCUUCACCCCCAGCUAUGCAGCCACCUUCAACAUCCAAAACCAUUGCUCCUACACGGUUUGGGCUGCGGCAGUCCCAGGCGGGGGCAUGCAGCUUGGCUCAGGCCAAUCCUGGAGCCUCAAUGUGAAUGCCGGCACCACUGGAGGCCGUGUUUGGGCCCGUACCAACUGCAACUUCGAUGCAUCAGGGAAUGGGAAGUGUGAGACCGGGGACUGUGGUGGCCUCCUCCAAUGCACGGCCUAUGGUACACCCCCUAACACCUUAGCCGAAUUCGCACUUAACCAAUUCAGCAACUUGGACUUCUUUGAUAUAUCUUUGGUUGAUGGAUUUAAUGUGCCUAUGGCCUUUAAUCCUACUUCCAAUGGGUGCACCCGUGGCAUCAGUUGCACCGCCGACAUCGUGGGAGAGUGCCCCGCUGCGCUAAAGACUACCGGUGGUUGCAACAACCCAUGCACCGUUUUCAAGACCGAUGAAUAUUGUUGCAAUUCUGGGAGCUGUAGUGCUACAGAUUACUCAAGGUUUUUCAAGACUAGGUGCCCUGAUGCUUAUAGCUACCCUAAGGACGAUCAGACAAGCACCUUCACAUGCACUGCCGGUACCAAUUAUGAAGUUGUCUUCUGCCCAUAAAUCUAUUAUUUAAAUCAUAUGCUAGUAUGCCUCUACUAGUCUCAACUAUUAGGAGGCAAUGGUUUCCACCUUGGGUUCCAAAAGCCUAGAGGAAUAAAGUUGGGCACAUUUUCGUGGUCAUGUAACAAGAUUUCUACACUAGUAGAAGUAAUGGAUGUUUUUUUUUUUUAUAUAUAUAUAUAUAUAUAUAGAUUUAUGCGAUCUUCUUUCUUUCUAACCUCUAUGGUCCCGUCCAAGUAAUAUUUCAUAUAUAUUUUAUUCUAUAUAAUAUCUGCGGAUAAGAUCGGUUAAUGAAGCUUGACUAAAGUCAAAAUUUUAUUUUAUUUCAUUAUCCUACUUGGAAACUACCUUCCUUACUGGGUACAUGGCAUUUUUUUUUUAAUAAUAUUUGACUCAGGUUUCCGAGAAAACAUUGUAGCAGUCCAAACACGGCGUAAAUUGGGACUUUUCUCAAUAGUAGAGUAAUUUAAAAAAGUUAUUCUUCAAUUACUGUAGUGGAAGAAGUUAUUACAAAUAUAGGGUAGUUUUUGCCAGAUAGGAGAGAGGAGAGAGGAGAGAGGGUGAGAGAGAGGAGAGAGGAAAGAGGAGAUAGGAGAGAGGAGAGAGGAGAGAGGGUGAACGGGUAAAAUUUUUUAAAAAAGGGAACUCGUCUCUUGAAGAGACGAGUUCCAUGAAAAAAAAUAUAUAUAUAAUUUUUAAAAAAUUCUCAAAUUAAAAAAAAAAAAAUUGGAACUAAAGGCUUGACACGAGUUCCCAUGGGAAAAAUAUAUAUUAUUUAUUUAAAAUAUAUUUUUCAUUUAAAAAAAAUCCCAAAAAAAAUAAAAAAUAAAAUUUCUAAAAGGAACUCGUCUCUUUUUUAAAAAAAAUAUAUUUUUUAUUUUAAAAUCCCAAAUUUAAAAAAAAAAAACGCAAUUCCAAAAGGAACUCGUCUCUUUAAAAAUAUAUAUAUUUAAAAAAAAAAAUUCCUAAAGGGAACUCGUCUCUUGAAGAGACGAGUUCCCUUUAGGAAAAAAAAUAUUUUGUUUUUAAAAUAUAUUUUUUAUUUUAAAAAAUCCCAAAUAAAAAAAAAUAAAAAAUAAAAAACAAUUCCAAAGGGAACUCGUCUCUUCAAGAGACGAGUUCCCAUGUAAAAAAAAAUAUUUUUUUAAAAAAUAUAUAUAUUUAAAAAAAAAAAUUCAGAGUUACUUUAGGAAAAAAAAUAUUUUUUUUUUAAAAUAUAUUUUUUAUUUUAAAAAAUCCCAAAUUUAAAAAAAAAAAAACACAAUUCCAAAGGGAACUCGUCUCUUCAAGAGACGAGUUCCCAUGUAAAAAAAAUAUUUUUUUUAAAUAUAUAUAUUAAAAAAAAAAAAACAAUUCCUCAAAAUUCCUAAAGGAACUCGUCUNNNNNNNNNNNNNNNNNNNNNNNNNNNNNNNNNNNNNNNNNNNNNNNNNNNNNNNNNNNNNNNNNNNNNNNNNNNNNNNNNNNNNNNNNNNNNNNNNNNNAAAGGAACUCGUCUUUUGGAAGAGAACGAGUUCCCAUGUAAAAAAAAAAAAAAAUUUUAAAAAAAAUAUAUAUUUAAAAAAAUAAAAAUUCAGGGUUCCCUUUAGGAAAAAAAAUAAUUUUUUUUUAAAAAAAAUAUUUUUUUUUUUAAAAAAUCCCCAAUUAAAAAAAAAAAAAAAAAAAAAAAACCCAAUUCCAAAGGGAACUCGUCUCUUCAAGAGACGAGUUCCCUUGUAAAAAAAAUUAUUAUUUUUAAAUAUAUAUAUAUUAAAAAAAAAAAAAAAAAAAAACAAUUCCUCAAAAUUCCUAAAGGAACUCGUCUCUUCAAGAGACGAGUUCCCAUAUAAAAAAAAAAAUUAAAAAAAAAUAUAUAUUUAAAAAAAUAAAAAUUCAGAGUUCCCUUAGGAAAAAUAAUAAUUUUUUAAAAAAAUAUAUUUUUUAUUUUAAAAAAUCCCAAAUUAAAAAAAAAAAAAAAAAAAAAAAACACAAUUCCAAAGGGAACUCGUCUCUUAUUUUUUUUUUUUCCAUAGGAACUCGUCUCUUCAAUAGACGAGUUCCCUUGAUGAAUUGUUUUUUUUUUUUUUUUUUUUAAAUAUAUUUUUUUAAAAAAAAUUUGUUUUUACGUGGGAACUCAUCUUAAAGAGACGAGUUCCCUUGAGGAAUUGUUUUUUUAUUUUAUUUUAUAUUUUAUUUUAAUAUAUAUAUUUUAAAAUAAAAAAUAUUUUUAAGAGACGAGUUCCUUUGGAAUUGUGUUUUUUUUUUUUUUUUUUAAUUUGGGAUUUUUUAAAUUUUUUAAAAAAAUAAUUUUUUUUCCUAAAGGGAAUUCUGAAUUUUUAAUUUUUUAAAUAUAUAUAUUUAAAAAUUUUUUUUUUUUUAAAAAACAAAAAUUUUUUUUAAAAAAUAUAUAUAUUUAAAAAAAAAUUAUAUUUUUUNNNNNNNNNNNNNNNNNNNNNNNNNNNNNNNNNNNNNNNNNNNNNNNNNNNNNNNNNNNNNNNNNNNNNNNNNNNNNNNNNNNNNNNCGUCUCUUCAAGAGACGAGUUCCCUUUGGAAUUGUGUUUUUUUUUUUUUUUUUUCUUUUUUUUAAUUUGGGAUUUUUUAAAAUAAAAAAUAUUUUUUUUUUCCUAAAGGGAACUCUGAAUUUUUUUUUUAAAUAUAUAUAUAUUUUUUAAAAAAAUAUUUUUAAAAAAAAAAUAUUUUUUUUUGUUUUUUUUUUUUUAAUUUGGGAUUUUUUAAAAUAAAAAAUAUAUUUUAAAAAAAAAAUAUUUUUUUUCCUAAAGGGAACUCGUCUCUUCAAAAAACAAGUUACCUUUAGGAAUUUUUUUUUUAAAUAUAUAUAUUUUAAAAAAAAAAUAUUUUUUUUACAUGGGAACUCGUCUCUUCAAAAGACGAGUUCCUUUUGGAAUUGUGUUUUUUUUUUUUUUUUUUUUAAUUUAGGAUUUUUUAAAAUAAAAAAUAUAUUUUUAAAAAAAAUUAUUUUUUUUCCCAAGGAACUCGUCUCUUGAAGAGACGAGUUCCCUUUAGAAAUUUUUUUUUUUUUUUUUUGGAUUUUUUUAAAUAAAAAAUAUAUUUUAAAUAAAUAAUAUAUUUUUUUUCCCAGGGAACUCGUCUGAAGCCUUUAGUUCCAAAUUUUUUUUUUUAAUUUGAGAAUUUUUUAAAAAUUAUAUAUAUAUAUUUUUUCAUGGAACUCGUCUCUUCAAGAGACGAGUUCCCUUUUUUAAAAAAUUUUACCCGUUCAUCCUCUCUCCUCUCUCCUAUCUCCUCUUUCCUCUCUCCUCUCUCCUCUCUCUCACCCUCUCUCCUCUCUCCUCUCUCCUCUCUCCUAUGUGGCAAAAACUACCCUAUAUUUGUAAUAACUUCUUCCACUACAGUAAUUGAAGAAUAACUUUUUUAAAUUACUCUACUAUUGAGAAAAGUCCGCGUAAAUUGUCAUAGCCCUUUAUUGCAGAGAAUAGUGGAAAAGAAAGUUGUUAAAAGUGGCAUAAGUAAUUCAAACCAUAACCCUAUAUUGAGGAGAGUUAUGACUUAUGACACAUAAAUAUUGAAGUUCCACUUGUCUAUCAAUUAAAUAAAUAUAUGUUUUAAUUUAUUUUUGUAAAAAAAAUCAAUAAGAUUUUUAAUAUUUAUUUUACUAAUUUUAUUUAAAGAACUUAUGAUUUAAAAACGAGUUUAAUAUGAUUUAGAUAAGAAAUAUUUUAAUAUUUAAUAUAAAUUUUAUAAUACUAAUAUUACCUAUUAAAAAUUAAGAUUUUGGUUGCACCAUCAACAUUUAGUUAAAUCUAAAAAUAAAAAACUAUUUCAAACAAAGCUUUAUUUAUUCAUCUAUCAUGCUAAUGGAGCCUCAGAAGUUAAAAAGAUUAACUGGGCCAUGGUUAUAGAAGCCCAAAAGAUUUAUUGAUGGGGCGGAGCAGGUGGGCCUGGCCUGCCAUGUGCAGCUGUAUUUUUUUGACUUGUCUUCAAGACAACAAGUCAACGCCUCCGUUCAAUGAAGCGGAUGUAUCGGAAAAACCCAAAAGCUUCAUUUUCCCCUCAAAACGCGUAAACCCCAAAAUGAGCUUCUUCUGCAACUGCAGCAACCUCUCUACUUCCUUCUGCCUCCUCAUCCUCCCGUUCUUCUUCACCUUCAUCCAUGCAACCACUUUCGAAAUCCAAAACAGCUGCCCCUACACCAUCUGGGCAGCCGCCGUACCCGGCGGCGGAAGGCAACUCGACCAAGGCCAGACCUGGAACCUUUCAGUGAGCUCCAACAUAACGGGCCGCAUCUGGGGCAGAACCAAGUGCAGCUUCGAUGAAGCCGGAAGGGGGAGCUGCGAGUCCGGUGGAUGUGGAGGCCUCCUUGAAUGCCAAGAAUAUGGUUCACCGCCCAACACCAUUGCCGAGUACACCCUAAACCAAUCCAACAAAACUGAUUUAUUCGAUGUUUCUCUGGUGGAUGGAUUCAACCUUCCAAUGGAGUUUAGCCCAACUUCUGAUGGGUGCAGAGGGGCCAAUUGUACAGGCGACAUUAACGGGCCGUGCCCAAAUGAGUUGAGGGACCCGGGUGGGUGUAACAACCCAUGUACCGUUUUCAAAAAUUCUCAGUACUGUUGCGAUUCCGGGAGCUGUGGCCCUACAACUUACUCCGAGUUUUUCAAGGAUAGGUGCCCAAAUGCAUACAGUUACCCUGAGGAUGAUUCAACCAGUUUGUUUACGUGCUCCACUGGCUCUAACUAUCGUGUAGUCUUCUGCCCUUGAAUUAUGGGUUGCUAUUAAUUGUUUGAAGUAUUUUCUGAAUUGCCGUGUAAUUUUAUGCUAUGAGGGUAUUUCUUCCUAAGUUUUGUUGGAUGAUCCGUUGAAAUAAAUACUCGAUAACUUCUGUAUUAUUUUAAAAAGUAAUGUAUCAAUAUGCCCAUUUUUAAAAGCUAUAGUGUUAUAAAUUUCAAACUCUUUAAAAUUUUGAGAGAUGAUACUAAGAACUAGCAUACUUUUGUAAAAGAAGUCAUAAAAGGAGAGUCAUCUAAAAAUUUUAAACUUUUAAAAUUUUUCACUAAAACCAAUGUCUCUCUCCGCUUGUUGACUCGUCUGGAAGUCAAGUCCAACGACCCCAUAGCCGUCAACCGAAACCGUUCAUGAAAAAUCUGAUCACCUUCCUCGCCAAAAUGCCAAAAUCCCAAGAUGACUUUCUUCAGCAGCUGCAACAACCUCUCCACUUCCUUCUUCCUCCUCAUCACCACUCUCUUCUUCACCUUCCUCCACGCUUCCGCGCUUCCACCUUCCACAUCCAAAACAACUGCCACUUCACCCUGUGGGCCGCGCACGGCCGUUCCCCGCGGCGGAACGCAACUCUGAUGGGUGGGCCAAAAAAUUCCCAAAUUAUUGGGAGUGGGCCUUUAUAAGUCCCAAAUUGCUAGGGGUGGGCCAAUGGGUAGUGAUGAUGUCAUAGUGCUCUAGCCCAAUUUUUUUUUAAAAUAAACAAAUAAAGGAUUGUAAUCAGUUUAAAAUGUUGAUAUACGGACAAAAAUUGAACAUUCAGACUAAUAAAAGUUAAUAAAUCCCAUACCAAUUGUUACUAAAUUUAAAAUCUAUUUAUCUAAUGAAAAAAUUUAGAGAAGUUAAAAAACUUUAACAAAAAUAGGUAUAAUUCCAAUAGAGAUUAUAUUUGACAAUUUUUCAUACUAGUUCAUGGACAGAUAAUGAAAGAAAAGUUGAAUCAUAUUUUGUUUAAUUUACUCUUCUUUUUUUUUAAUAUUUUUAAAAUUAUAUAUAUUUUUCAUUUCUCCGUAUUUUCCCUUUUUUCUCUAAAAAAAUAUGUGAAUAUAACUUUGUUCAUUUACAAUUAAUAAUGUCUUUUUCCGCUAGUUUUCUCCAAGUGAACGAUAAAUGUACUUGCAACAAAGUGUGUUCAAAUUAUUUUUUCGGGUAUUUUUUUUGAAGCUUAAGUUCAUUUUUAGAAGAAAUAGAUAAUAGUUUUAUUAUAAUAGAGUUGUAAUGUUUUAUGUAUUUUUUUAAUACUUUAAACGUCUGUAAUUGACCUUGAAAAUAACAGUUUUUGAGCUUAUAGUAAGACGUUUAUACUUGUGGAGGCAUCCGAUCUAAUGAUUUGAAAUAUUUAUUAUUUGCGCAGUGAAUAAAGACGUUGAUAGGAUAUCCUUUUAUCAUUUUAAUAUUUCGACGGAGAGAGGCUUUUAUCCAGAUGGAUGUAGGACCCACAGACUUCUCAUUAAUUUUUGAUAAUUAUUUUAUAUUUUAUUUUAUUUUUAAAAAAUUGUUUUCAAAUGACAUCGUCAAAUAGGCUGUUCGUAAUCAUCACUUCCAAUGCAACAUCUUUCGUUGAAUGGAAACUCAGAAAAUCUAAAGUAUCAUCGUAAAAUUCAUGAGGAAUAUGCCAGAAGAUGACCGUUUCAAACCUUUUAUAAUAUUAUUAUAUUUUCUGUAUUUUCUUUCCGCAAAUUUUCCUGAACUAAACACGAGUGAUAAACUACACCUUGAUUUGCGGGGAAAAUCCAUUGGCUAGAGAUUGACUGAAAGCCAAAACUUAGGCUUCGUUGCAAGACAUUUUGGCAGCCAACGACUCAGGCAAACACCGUAAAAGUCUAAAGAGACGCUGUCCGCCCAAACAAUCCACAAAUCUCUUAUCUUUUUAUCAUCUAAUACUCGGAUUCUAGAAAAGUCUACUGUAUCUCUUAGGUUAUAUUUAGUUUCGAAAAAUACAAAAGAAAGAAAAAAAAUAUUAAAAAAAAUAAUUUUUUCAUAUUCGAUUGUCUUAUAAAUUAUUUUAAAAAAAAUUAAAUAUGAUUAAAAUUAAUUAAAAAUUUAUGGAUUUUAAAAUUAUUUAAUCUUUAUAUUGAUGAGUUAAAAUAAAUAAAAAUAAUUUUUCAUCUUUUAACUCUAUUUUUUAUUUUUCUUCAUUUUUUUCUUUUAUUUUUUUUCUUUUUUUUCUUUUUCUUUUUUAUAUAUAUUUUCCCUUAAAUUUUAUGAGAACCACAUAUAAUCUUAAAAUUUUAAUAAUUUUAAUUUAUCAUUCUAAUCAUUCUAGAAAAUUUCAUCAUUAAAAAAUGUAAGAAAAAAAAAUUAGGGUGAAUAAAUUAUUUUUAUAUAUUAUUUUAAACUUAUUUUAUUUAUUUUAAAUUUUAAUAUAAAAAUUGUAUGAGCUUGUAAUUAAAUUUAUUUUAUUAAUUUUUUUUUAUAAUAUAGUCAAACAUAUAUAAAAAAAAAUCAAUUUUAUUAACAAUUUUUUUCUUUUCUUCAUUGAUUUGCUCCUGACGCCAUUUCAUCUAGAAUGGCAUAGAUAAUUUAAAGCAACAGUCAAAGGUCAUCCAAAAAAUUGAACAUGAUAGGUUGUUCAAAUGCAAGUUUACCGGUUCCCCGGAUUCUUCUAAGUUCUGGCAGCUUGACUUCACUUCCGCAUUCUGCAUUGGAGAUGUCACAGAUGUAUGGCCAUGAUUAAUGCCGUUCUCUUCAGUCAUUCCUAUGUGUGUGGACGCGUGAUGAAUUGGAAUCUAAGCAGGAAAGAUGCACGCUCCAUUCAAGUCACGUUUUCUCGUGGGAGGAUUGUCUUGAUUUUAUUAUGCGUGUAUUCUCCUGACUCUACCAUGGCCACUUGGCUUGCCAAGUCUAGAGUAAAGCCAUGAGUGGACAAUUCCAUUUCUUUCUUCAUCUUUUUCCACGGAAUCAAGUCCAACAAAAUGCUGAAAUUUCUAUUCGAAUUAACCCACUUCUCACGUAAUCUCCCAAACCAUUGCCACCAUUCAUCUAUAAAAACCCUACCAUACAUGCAUCUCCAAAACAUCAAUUAACCCAAACCCAUGUUAGUGCUCUGUCUUGGCUUGCCCUGUUUAAGAACAUUCUCUUUUAUAUAUAUUGUUAUACAACUUUCUACGUGAUAUGUUCUCAUUGGUUUAAUGUAUUACUAAAAAAUGUUCUUCAGGAUUUUGGAUGAGGUUGUGUUUGCAUUAACAUGAUCACUUUCAAAUUAUUUUUUGUAGGCAUGGUUCGUGCAGCUAUCAAGUACAAAUAGUUUGUGUAACUGGAUGUUGAUCGUCAUCUUCAUUGUGGUUACUUUUAAUAUCACUUUGUCUAAAUUAUUCUAAGACUAAACAUGAAAGUUCAAUAUCAUUUUGUUUAAAAUAGUAUAAGAAGGAACAUUGAAUAUGCAAAACAUUCAUACGAAGGACAAUCCGAUAGAUGCCUUAAUAAAAUCAAUUAACACUGAUAAAUUCAAUUAGUGCAAAUCCUCUUUUGAUUUCACAAUAACAUAAGCAACAUAUGAUAGGGUAAAACUUAGAAAUAUGAUUUCAAGUGAAAUAAUAUUAACGUUAAAGUCAUCUCACAUAAGAAAAAAAAAGAAAAAAAAAAGAGCUUCUUUAUGCUAUCUGAGGGGCAUCCAUCCUUGAUAUUCUUCAUCCUAAAAAAAACUUUUAUUUUUUUGCAAGUUUUUAUGUUAUCUCCUCUAAAUCGUAAAAAGAGAGGUUACAAUUUUGUAUUUAUAUGAUGAAUAUUUUUUAGUUUUGUUCUUUGGGUUUCCUUCAUAAUUAAAAGGGUUUAAUAUGUAAGUAUUUUUAAUUAUUUUAUUUAUUCUAUUACAUUAUUAUUUUAUUAUUCUAUUUUUAAAUUAUGGGAGCAUCAUUUCAAAACACUACCUUUAAAAAAAUAAAUAAAAAUAUAGUUUUUUAUAUUUGAGAUUUUAAACAAAAUUUUAUUUAUAAAAAUAAUUAAAAUUACGUUUUGCCUAACAUGCGUACGUUGUAGUCAUCCGCGGAGUUGGUUCGAGAGGACAUUGGAAAAUCACACAAAGUGAUCAUGUGCCUUUAAUUGGAAAAUAAACAGUGGAUUUUCUCUUCUCUAGAAUUGGUUGCUUCUCAGAUAAAGGUCAAAAUUCAAUUAUGAUAUUAUGGAAAAUAGUCCCAGUCGAACCAAUUUUCAAGGCAUUUGAAGUGGCCAUUCAUUCAAGAAAGGAAGUUUGAAAUAAAUUUUUCCAACGCAACGCGGCACGCACCCGGCCAUGUUUUCAAGAUGCCUUCCUACCUGUCCUCAGAAUUCAGUAUUCAUGAAUUUCCAUAAAAGUUAGACAGGUUUCUGAAAAUAAUAAAAAUGAUAAUGAUGUGGACCCCUUGAAAUAAAUUCAGUAUUCAUGAAUGGGCAAUUCUGGUUCUUUCAUCAUCUUUUUAUCUGUAAUCAAUCAUCCAAUCAAGUCCAACAAAAUGCUGAAAUUUCCAUUCGAAUUAACCCACUUCUCACGUAAUCUCCCAAACCAUAGCCACCCUUCAUCUAUAAAAACCCCACCAUACAUCCAUCUCCAAGACACCGCAUUAGCCCAAACCCAUAAGAAUUCUAAAUACUUCGAUUCUGAUCAUCUGAUUCAUUCAACAUCAAAAUGCGCUUCACCACCACCCUCCCAAUUCUCUUCCCUCUCCUCCUCAGCCUCCUCUUUACCUCCACCCAUGCAGCCACCUUCGACAUCCUCAACAAAUGCACCUACACCGUCUGGGCAGCCGCCUCCCCCGGUGGUGGACGGAGACUUGACUCCGGCCAGUCCUGGACAAUCACCGUCAACCCCGGCACCACCAAUGCUCGCAUCUGGGGCCGAACCUCAUGCACCUUCGACGCCAAUGGGCGUGGCAAAUGCGAAACUGGUGACUGCAAUGGCCUCCUCGAAUGCCAGGGCUACGGUUCUCCCCCAAACACCCUCGCUGAAUUCGCUCUAAACCAGCCCAAUAACCUCGACUACAUCGACAUCUCCCUUGUCGAUGGCUUCAACAUCCCCAUGGACUUCAGCGGCUGCCGCGGCAUCCAGUGCUCCGUUGACAUCAAUGGGCAAUGCCCCAGUGAGUUGAAGGCCCCCGGUGGAUGCAACAACCCGUGUACAGUGUUCAAGACCAAUGAGUAUUGUUGCACUGAUGGACCUGGAAGCUGUGGUCCGACCACAUACUCCAAAUUCUUCAAGGACAGGUGCCCAGAUGCUUAUAGCUACCCUCAGGAU